rnacentral:lncRNA from 1 species
UUUUAUUGAAGUUGGUUCACUUUUGUUUGAAUUUACUGAAAAUUUCAGAUUAUUUCAGAAAAAUAAUGAGGGACUUUUGAGGGGUUCAUCGAGCCAAAGCUCAAUGGAUAAAGAAAAUGAAGAAGCUCAGAGGCCCAAAUAUAAUUUGCCUCGUACCGCGGAGAUCCGGCCGUGUGAAUGGCCUUCUGAUAAUUUCUUGAGAGAGGCCGGGAUUUAUGAGGAUUUCUAUUCAUUGAUUAAGAAUGCUGGCCUCACCGACUUCGUCCGCGACCAACGUCCACAGUAUCUCUUACACACAAAUAAUUUUGUGCAAAACUUCUACUUUUUCCCUAAAGAGUCACCUCCUUCAGUAGAGUUUCAUUUAUAUGACGUUGUGAAGAAAAUGCCAUUGUCUGAAUUUUGCGUAGUCUGCAACAUACCUCUUGAUGGUAUCUUAGAGGAACCACCUCGUAAAAAGUUGGAACCAUUUAUUAACCUUAUCUCUAUGGGAGAAACCAGGAAGGUUUCUGAUGCAAGAAUCACUAGCAUACAUUUUCCUGUGUUAUGCUAUUUUACUUUAUUUGCUAGUCGAUGCUUGAUUGGUCGUGGGAACUGUGGGAACCUUAGUGUUCCUGAUAUUAUUAUUCUGUUCCAUGGUUUAUACCGCGACAACACUGUCAGUAUGGGCAGAAUUAUUGCUAGGCGGUUGAGUCUGAACCGUACUAAAGGCCCCAUAUUUGGACGCAUUUAUGCUUCUCGCCUUGCUGCACACUUUAACAUAGCUAUUAGGCAUUAUGAGAAAGAAUAAAAAUUGCUGCCUAAUGCCUAUCUAGACUAUAAGAGCAUGAUAGCUCAUGAUUUUCUUGUUGAGGACAGGAAUGGAGAGCUCAAAUAUAAGUUAUACUUUGAUAAACAUUAUCCUAAAACUAUUAUGUUGCGUGCUCCUUCUUUGUUUAAUUUUGUGGGACCCUACCUCAUUACGUGGGCUGCCAUCCAAGCUUACAAGAAUCCUGCACCAGCCCCGGAACAGGAACCACAAGAUAGCCUCCACGACAAUCUGUUUAUUCUUGGGAUCCAGAGAUGACUGUCAGCCAGUGGCAGUCAGAGUCUUCUUCUUCAUCACAGUAUGAUCCCAACUAUUCUUCGUCGCAGUACGACCCCAGCUACACCUACGGGUACCCGCCAGGCUAUCCCUGGCAAUAGACCAACUUAGGCCAAAAUCCUAGCUUGGGGGAGUACAUAUUUCUCACCGACAUUACAUUUAUGUUCACACACACUCAUUGCUAGAUGUCGGUGCUCAUACUCUUUCACUGUAAUAUCCAUGCUAGUUUAUUUUCUUUUUCCUGCUUUCUUCUUGUGUGUUUGUUAAACCUUAAGAAAAACCAAAAAAAUUAGUAGUAGUUUAUUUUUCUGCUGUAGUAGUAAUAAUUAAAAAGAAAACCCAAAAAUAUUUCCCAUUCUUCUUUUGCUCGUUGGGAGCUUUUCCGUGUAAAUAGUUUUAUUUCUUUUCUUUUCUUUGGGGGUCAGUAGGAGAAGACCAUAAUUAAAUUGUUGAAGUGGCCCUUAUAUGCAUUAUUGUUGAUUUAACCAAGAACCCAUAUUGCCUUGUCUUCUCCUGUUUAUUGAAUGCUCGCAGAUUCCAGCUUAGUCCAAUGCACGUGCACCCUUAUUAUUAUUCACACCGUUCGGUCGUGCAAGUGAAAGGCAAUUAUGAUGAUAUAUGAUGGGCUGGCUGAGAUGAGAAAAGCUGGUAUGAACUCGACCUCUUUUGUUUCUGUAAAUAUGAUGAGUCCCUCAUUCUUGAUUCAGCUUAUUAUGAAUAAACAUGUUUGCAAUGACAAUUAGAGAUCAUAGUUGCUUGUGCCAUGCUUGAUUAGCUAUGAGUUAUAAUGGUUUACCUUGUGUACCAACAUGCUAUUGAGAUGAUUAUGAUGUGGUAUGAUGGGGUGGUAUCCUCCUUUGAAUGAUUUAAGUGACUUGACUUGGCACAUGUUCACGGAUGUAGUUGAAAAAAUCAACAUAGCCUUCACGAUAUUUAUGUUCAUGGUGGAUUAUAUCCUACUCAUGCUUGCAUCCAAUGUUUAUUAAUUUUAAUGCAUGUACAUGGCUGUUGUCGCUCUCUAGUUGGUCGCUUCCCAGUCUUUUGCUAGCCUUCACUUGUACUAAGCGGGAAUACUGCUUGUGCAUCCAAUCCCUUAAACCCCAAAGUUAUUCCAGAUGAGUCCACCAUACAUUCCUAUAUGCGGUAUCUACCUGCCGUUCCAAGUAAAUUUGUAUGUGCCAAACUCUAAACCUUCAAAUAAACAUUCUGUUUUGUAUGCUCGAAUAGCUCAUGUAUCAACCAAGGUUGUCCUUAUCUUCCGUGUUAGGCGGGUUAUUCUCAAGAGGAGUGGACUCCGUUCCUCACUCACGAGAAAAUGAUUGGUCACCGGGAUGCCCAGUCCCAUGCUUUAUGCAAACCAAAUCCAAAUUAAUUGCAAACAAAACUCCCCCUCGGACCUGAUGUAUGUUGGAGACACUCGUUGUUUCGAGCAAGUCAUGGAUUGAUGCUUGUUGGUGGAGGGGGAGUAUAAACUUUACCAUUCUGUUUGGGAACCGCCUAUAAUGUGUUUAGCAUGGAAGAUAUCGCCAUCUCUUAGUUGCUACAUUGACAAUGAAAGUAUACCGCUCAAAAUACAAUUUAUCUCUAUUGCAAAACCGAGCUCUGGCACCUCUACAAAUCCCUGCUUCCCUCUGCGAAGGGCCUAUCCAUUUACUUUUAUGUUGAGUCAUCACCCUCUUAUUAAAAAAGCACUAGCUGGAGAGCACAUCUGUCAUUUGCAUUCAUCACUAUUAAUCUAUGUUGGGUGUGACUAUGAUUGGAUCUCUUUUACCAUGAAUUACAAUGUCUAGUCAGUCCUUGAUCUUUAAAGGUGCUCUGCAUUUAUGUUUUGCGGUCUCAGAAAGGGCUAGCGAGAUACCAUCUUGUUAUAUCAUAUUAUGAUUGUUUUGAGAAAGUGUUGUCAUCCGAGAUUUAUUAUUAUGGCUUGCUAGUUGAUUAUACUAUUGAUAUGAGUAUUUAUGAGACCUGAGAAUUAUUGCAAAUGUGGUUAGUUAUGAUAUAUGUUGAAAACUUGAAUGCUGGCUUGACAUAGUUACAACAACAAGAGCAAACAGAGUUUGUAAAAGCUUUUCUUUGUUUCUUUCAGUUUGUCAACUGAAUUUCUUGAGGACAAGCAAGGGUUUAAGCUUGGGGGAGUUGAUACAUCUCCGUGUAUCUACUUUUCCAAACAAUUUUGCCCUUGUUUUGGACUCUAACUUGUAUGAUUUGAAUGGAACUAACCCGGACUGACGCUGUUUUCAGCAGAAUUGCCAUGGUGUUGUUUUAUGUGCAGAAAACAAAUAUUCUCGAAAUGACCUGAAACUCCACGGAACAUCUUAGAAAAAAUAAUAAAAAAUCCUCGCCAAAGAUGAAGACUAGGGGGCCCACACCCUGUCCACGAGGGUAGGGGCGCCCCCCUCUAGGGCGCGCCCCCCUAUCUAGUGGGCCCCCUGGAUGCCCUCCGAUGCCAACUCCAACUCUAUAUAUUUGCUUUCAGAGAGAAAAAAAUCAGAGAGAAGAAAUCAUCACGUUUUACGAUACAGAACCGCCGCCAAGCCCUAAAACCUCUCGGGAGGGCUGAUCUGGAGUCCGUUCGGGGCUCCGGAGAGGGGGAUUCGUCGCUGUCGUCAUCAUCAACCAUCCUCCAUCACCAAUUUCAUGAUGAUCACCGCCGUGCGUGAGUAAUUCCAUCGUAGGCUUGCUGGACGGUGAUGGGUUGGAUGAGAUUUAUCAUGUAACCGAGUUAGUUUUGUUAGGGUUUGAUCCCUAGUAUCCACUAUGUUCUGAGAUUGAUGUUGCUAUGACUUUGCUAUGCUUAAUGCUUGUCACUAGGGCCCGAGUGCCAUGAUUUCAGAUCUGAACAUAUUAUGUUUUCAUGAAUAUAUGUGAGUUCUUGAUCCUAUCUUGCAAGUCUAUAGUCACCUACUAUGUGUUAUGAUCCGGCAACCCCGAAGUGACAAUAAUCGGGAACACUCCCGGUGAUGACCAUAGUUUGAGGAGUUCAUGUAUUCACUAUGUGCUAAUGCUUUGUUCCGGUUCUCUAUUAAAAGGAGGCCUUCAUAUCCCUUAGUUUCCAAUAGGACCCCGCUGCCACGGGAGGGUAGGACAAAAGAUGUCAUGCAAGUUCUUUGCCAUAAGCAUGUAUGACUAUAUAUGGAAUACAUGCCUACAUUGCAUUGAUGAAUUGGAGCUAGUUCUGUGUCACCCUAUGUUAUGACUGUUACAUGAUGAACCGCAUCUGGCAUAAUUAUCCAUCACUGAUCCGGUGCCUACGAGUUUUCCAUAUACUGGUUCUCGCUUAUUUACUUUCCCUCUGCUACUAUUACAAUCACUACAAAAUACCAAAAACAUUACUUUUGUUGUCUUUACUUUUGUUACCGCUACCACCACUAUCAUAUUACUUUGCUACUAAACACUUUGCUGCAGAUACUAAGUUUCCAGGUGUGGUUGAAUUGACAACUCAGCUGCUAAUACUUGAGAAUAUUCUUUGGCUCCCCUUGUGUCAAAUCAAUAAAUUUGGGUUGAAUACUCUACCCUCGAAAGCUGUUGCGAUCCCCUAUACUUUUGGGUUAUCACUUGCCAUCCAUUAUUUGUGAAAAUGGAUUUAUGAAGAUGUACUGAAGAGUGGCUCACCCAUGGUAGAGUAUGGGGGAGAAAUCAACUAGUCUUCAUCGAGCCAACACAAUCAAGAAAGGUGGUCCAACUUGAGGGAGUCAAGAUCGUCAUCAUCUAGCUCAACUGGACUAUGUGCAAGACAAAGGUUUGGCCUUGAUAGGUUUUCUAUUUUACCGGCCUCAUAGUGGUAGUUGGGAGACCGGGUUAUAGGAUCGAUUGCCGUACUAUCAAGGGGGGCUCUCGAUGAGUAACUUGAUCGUAUCGUUCAUAGAGAGCUCAAACCAUUGCAUUCUUGUAUCAUCUUUCUUGGUUCUUGUUUGGUUCUCUUUGAUAGUUUUGGAGCUUAUGGUCAUCUUGUUGACAAGCUCGAGUUCAUCGAAAAUAGAGUCCCCUUGCAUCUUCUAUGAUGUUUCCGAUGUUGGAGGUUAUGCCUAUUCUUUGCUGUUGGAGGUUUCACUCCUCCAUUUGUCAAGCAUACCUCCCCUACCUCUUCUUUUUAUAACCAGUCGCUUUUUUGAUGCUACUCAUCGUCUUGUAUCCAACAAGCUUGAGUUUGCUCUUAUGAAGAAGUUAUGGCAGUUCUGGUUUUCUCCCUGCGGUAGUAUCGCGGUCGGCAGCGGUAGUACCGCUCCAGUACCGCUCUACUACCGCCUCGAUUUUGGGUCCUGCUCUUUUCGUGUCGGGUUUAGCAGUAGUUGCACUGCAGUUCUGCCUAUAAGCGGUAGUACCGCUCCGGUCGGGCAGUAGUACCGCUACUGCAUUACUGCCGCCGUACUCUGCUCUGCCCUGCCUCUUUUGGUCCCGUGUUCUGCUCCUCCAGCGGUAGUACCGCUAGGGUGAGCGGUAGUACCGAUUAUAUGCGGUACUACCGCCCCAAGGUUCGUAUUUUGUUGCUCCUUUUCCCUGCUUCUUCCGCCCGAGCGGUAGUACCGCUCGUGUGCGGGCUGAGCACACAACGGUUGGAUUUUUCCCCUCCUUAAAAGGGGGUCUUCUUCCCCAAUGAACUUUUUUUAUCCUUUGAGCUCGUGUUCUUCCCCCAUUCUUGACCUUCUUCGAGCUUGCUAACUCUCAAUCCCUCCAUGGAUUCUUGCUAGUUUUUGAGGGAAAAGAGAGAGGAGAUCUAGAUCCACAUUUCCACCAAUCACUUUCUCCUCUACGUGAGGGGAACCCCUUGGAUCUAGAUCUUGGAGUUCUUUGUGUUCUCUUUCUUGUUCUUCCUCUCAUUUUCCUCCCUAGCAUUAGUUGCUUCAGUGGGAUUUGAGAGAGAAGGACUUGGGCACUUCUGUGCCCUUGCCAUUGCAUUUGGUGCAUCGGUUUGAGUUCUCCACGGUGAUACGUGGAAGUUACAAGUUGAGAAGCUUAUUACUCUUGGGUGCUUGGUACCCUUGAGCUUGUUCCUCUUGGGUGCUUGGGAACACUAGAUGGUUGGUGGUGUUCGAAGCUCAAUCAUUGUGGUGUAAAGCUCCGAGCAAGCGUCGGGGUCUCCAAUUAGGUUGUGGAGAUCACCCCGAGCAAUUUGACGGGUACCGGUGACCUCCCCCAAGGGUUGCCAAAGUGUAUGGGUUCAGUGACCGACCCCAAGGGUUGCCAUUUGUACGAGUUCGGUGACCGCCCUCAAGGGUCCCUUAGUGGAAUCACGACAUCUUGCAUUUUGCGAGGGCGUGAGGAGAUUACGGUGGCUGUCGGUGUCAAAACCGGCGGAGCUCGGGUAGGGGGUCCCGAUCUGUGCGUCUAGGCCGGAUGGUAACAGGAGACAAGGGACACGAAGUUUUACCCAGGUUCGGGCCCUCUCAAUGGAGGUAAAACCCUACGUCCUGCUUGAUUAAUAUUGAUGGUAUGGGUAGUACAAGAGUAGAUCUACCACGAGAUCGAUGAGGCUAAACCCUAGAAGCUAGCCUAUGGUAUGAUUGUUGAUGUGUAUGUUGUCCUACGGACUAAAACCCUCCGGUUUAUAUAGACACCGGAUAGGGUUAGGGUUACAUAGAGUCGGUUACAAUGGUAGGAGAUCUUCAUAUCCGUAUCGCCAAGCUUGCCUUCCACGCCAAGGAAAGUCCCUUCCGUACACGGGACGGAGUCUUCAAUCUUGUAUCUUCGUAGUCCGGGAGUCCGGCUGAAGGUAUAGUCUGGCUAUCCGAGCACCCCCUAAUCCAGGACUCCCUCAGUAGCCCCCGAACCAGGCUUCAAUGACGAUGAGUCCGGCGCGCAGAUUGUCUUCGACAUUGCAAGGCGGGUUCUCCUCCAAAUUCCGUGUACCUGUUUGAAUAAAGUCCGGUUUCUUGUAGAUGUUGUGCUCCUUGGCUUCUACGCCCAAUAAUGGCCGCUUCCCACGUGUUAAACGAAUAUGAAAAGGCUGAGUGUUUUUACAUUCACACCCCUAGCCGCGUAAAUGAGCUGCCCUAUUUAAGGGGAUGAGGAUUUUGAUCCAAUCCACACCUUCNNNNNNNNNNNNNNNNNNNNNNNNNNNNNNNNNNNNNNNNNNNNNNNNNNNNNNNNNNNNNNNNNNNNNNNNNNNNNNNNNNNNNNNNNNNNNNNNNNNNNNNNNNNNNNNNNNNNNNNNNNNNNNNNNNNNNNNNNNNNNNNNNNNNNNNNNNNNNNNNNNNNNNNNNNNNNNNNNNNNNNNNNNNNNNNNNNNNNNNNNNNNNNNNNNNNNNNNNNNNNNNNNNNNNNNNNNCGCGAGUGUUCAUCAGGGCACAUCCGACAAAGGUCCAUUCCACCAUGGCCAGCCGUUGCAACUCCUCCUCUCGCCCUUCCAGCCAUCCCGCACAGCGAGCUAGUGAUGCUCCAAACCAAGGGAUUUCUUCCCCCAGCCUAUAUGGUCCCGGUUCGAGCCGGUCUUGCCGUCUACAAUGGCGGAGAGCAAGCAGAGAAUGCCCCUAAUCCCUCCAAAGGAGAGCGGGUGUGCCUCGUCCCUUACUUAAUAAGGGGGCUCGGAUUUCCAAUCCAUCCAUUUCUCCGGGGUCUGCUGGAGUUCUACGGCCUCCACCUACAUCAUCUCACGCCCGCCUCAGUAUUGCAUAUCGCGGGCUUUGUAGCCCUCAGCGAGCUGUUCUUGGGUGUUGAAGCUCAUUUCGGACUGUGGAAGGAGCUGUUUUGCCUCGUGCCCUGUUCCAAGAAGGGGUCAAUGUAUCAAGUGGGUGUAGCCAAAGUGUGGCGCAUCGCCGGGACCGGAUAUCUGUCCGGAACCCCAAAGAAGGCGUCCGAAGACUGGCCCUCAGAGUGGUUUUAUAUAGAAGACGUCCCGCUGCCGGAUCCUGUCCGGAUCGGCCUCAUCGAAUUCAACAGUGCUCCCUUAAAGAAGCGCCUAAGAUGGCGCCCACGGAGCCCUCAGAGCGAAAGUGACAGGGACGUUAUUUACCUGAUGGGCCGGAUAAGAUUAUUAGCCCAUUCCGGACUAACCAUGAUCGGGGUCAUGGCCGCAUGCAUCAUGCGAGGGGUGCAGCCGCUACAGUAUAGAGGCCACCCCAUGUGGGACUUCAACGGGGAGGACGACACCACCCGCUAUGGCCGUAAGGGGCCGGAUUCGGCUGCAGCUCUAGUAAAGACCUUGUCCGCUUUGUACAAGGGAGAAGAGGAGGAUUUUCUCCGCGUCGACCCAAAGGGCGGAUUUUCCAUGUACAAUCCUCCAAGCUGGGUGAGUGGUCACAUCUUGUCCAUCCGUUUUAUAUCCCCAUUGUUAAAUACUCAAUCUGGUGAUUUCGAUGCAGGAAUUGCGCCAGACUGUUAAAGAAAUAAGCAGCCCUCCUCCACAACCCAAGGACCCAGGACGGUCCCUUGACCCGGACUCUCAAGAGGAUCCGGACCUUUCGGUGGAGCUGAUUGAUGGAGUGUUCCAUCAAUUGAGCAAGGACAACGCCUUGGUGGCCAUUACGCCUGACUACCGAGGGCUAAUCCCGGCCUCCCAGAAACGGGAGGCCGAUCCUGCGGCGACAAGCCAACGAGGGGCCGCAGGGCCCCGUGGGUAGAAAAGAGGUGCAGUCUAGACCGAGACGUCAGCGUGAAGGUAUGGCGUGCCCCCUUAUCCCAGGUGUUACACCUUCAAGGCACAUUAACACUCGUGCUCUUUUCAGGAUAAAGAGACCUUGCCGGACUGGAUUCGGAGAGGCUGCCAACCGCGCCUCCACCAGCCAGGCUCCAAAGCCUGGUCUGGAGGUGGAGGGUGCCAUGAACCACGGGCAUUGCCGGACAAUUCUUCGUGACGCCUGUUUCUCCCAGGAGGCGUUAGAUGCCUUCAAAUCGGGAGAUGCGUACCUCCGUGCCGCUCAAAAUGGUCUAGCCAGAGCCACGGAGCAAUAUGUAAAAGACAUACGGGUAAGAAAAUUUUGGUAAUUAUAUAUAUAGCAGUAGCCCCCAAGACUUGAAACAGUUAGAAUAACCGAUUUAAGGAUCAUUUGAUAUGUAGGUUCUUACAGAAAAAUAAUUCUCUAUUGUCCAAGGAGCUGGAAGAGUGCAAAGCCCAACUGGAGGCUGCACUAGCCGUGGCAGGGGAGCCUAAGGAGACCCCCUCUGGUAAUAUACACUUCGAAAGAUAAGUAUUUUGCGAAGCACGGCUGUGGUGCGAAUCUGACAAAUGAAAUUGCAGAUGGCGCCGGAUUGAAUCCGGAAAGGCAACACCUCCUACGCCAGCUAAAGGCUGGUGAGAGGGUGCUAUUAAAGGUGAUGGGGGAGAAGAACGAUCUCCAAGAUGCCAACACCAAGCUGGGCGCCAAGCUGAAAGAUGUUCGUGCCCAGCUGUCAGACUCCGUGAAGGAGAAUCAGCGGCUUCGGCGCGGCAUAUUUAGUAAGUGCUUGAAUGAACCUUUUGAAAGAAAGUUCAGCGGGGAAGUCGACUAACAGAGAAAUGUAUGUAGGUGUGCUAAUAGGUCAUCCUGCAGAGGAGAUGCCCGGUUCUAUGGGUGACCUUCUUCCCGAGCUCUCGCAACUGCUCGAUCGAGUUCGGCAGGCGAUGCGAGGCGUCGCCCAGGCCCUGUGGCCAUCCGUCUCCAUGCCCGAAGGUCUUGGAGAGCUUGCGGAGAAGCUAAAGGGAGCACGGCGGCGCUUCCGAUUGUGGAAGAUAUCAGCCUGCCGUCAAGGCGCUAGGGAGACCUGGGCCAUGGUGAAGACGUGGUACGCAAAGGCUGACCCCAACCACAUGGCCGAGGUCGGUCCUGUAGGGCCCGAUGGGAAGGAGAUCCCUGUAAGCUUAGUAUACGGCCAUGUAGAGUUGGCCACAAAGUAUUCCCAGCAGGACUGUAAAUUAGACAGCUUGUUAGAUGGUAUUGAAGAGGAAUACAGCCAGUCAAGAUGACUAUGUAAUUUAAUUGACAUUUAUAAUGCCUUCUAGCCGGAUUGUAGAUCAUUUGUCAUGGCCGACCUUUUCGCUUCAGCCUCGGGACCUGACGGUCCGGAGUGUGUCCGAAUUCCCAUGCGGUUAUAUAGGAACCGGGGAAUGCAUGGAGACCAGGCGUAGGGGUCAUUGGGGCGUGAACAGACAAGUGCCCGACUAGUUAUGUUAUAUUACAUGCUUAGUAAGAAACAUCUUCCAGGGAGAAUAGUUCCGUUAGGGGUUCCUUUCCCUGGGAGGCAUGCCCUAAGGUGCAUGUCCAUGCUGCGAAAAGAAACUCAGGAAAAACAUCUGGGGGCAUAUAGAUAAAAAUAAAAAAAGAUCAUCUUUAGUUCACCGACCGAAUAUUCCCUUAAGAACGCUAGCUUUCGGCUUCACCUAGUCUGAGGUACACGUCCGGCUGACCCGGCAGUAACAAUCGCAGAGGUGCUCCCUUUACCACCUAGCCGAACAAUCGGGAAUGUAGGGGUAAGCACAGGAGCCAGGCAACCCAGCUUGGCCAAAACUUAAGUCAUAUCGAUGCAUAUAAUGGUGAAUAAAAGGUACAUGCGGAAGUGUGACACAUGUGUUGGGCAUGAAGCCCGUAUGAAUAAGCUUCUGUUUAAAGAAGCCCCCAGGUUUAAUGAGUGCGGAUAGCGCAUCACUUUAUGAGCCUUUAAAGGCUAUAAGAGAGAGAGAGAGAGAAGAAGAGAAAUGUAAGACAGAAAAUAUAUAAAAAUGGACAGAGGAAGGAGACGAACACAGAGUCCGGCGCUAGGCAUAGAAUCUUCGGAGACGGGCUGCGUCCAUGGGUUCGGCUCGAGUCGGUUAUCUGAUGCAUCCCGCAGGCGGUACGCUCCACCAGUCAAGACUUGGUCAAUUAUGAAGGGACCUUCCCACUUGGGCUUGAGUUUGUCCUUUUUCUUGUCCGGUAGUCGUAGAACUAAUUCGCCAACAUUGUAAUUUUUGGCCCGUACUUCUCUGCUUUGGUAUCUUCAAGCCUGCUGUUGAUAGAAUGCGGAACGGGCUUUUGCCACGUCACGCUCCUCCUCCAAUGCGUCCAAGCUGUCCUGCCGAUCGAGCUCGGCUUCUCUUUCUUCGUACAUGCGCACUCGAGGUGAGUCAUGAAUUAUGUCGCAAGGCAAAACUGCCUCUGCGCCGUACACCAUAAAGAAUGGUGUGUAUCCGGUGGUGCGAUUCAGCGUGGUCCGCAGCCCCCAGAGUACGGAGUCGAGCUCCUCUACCUAGUGCGUGUUAGAUUCCUUGAGUGACCGCACUAAUCUAGUUUUGAUGCCGCUCAUGAUAAGACCAUUUGCACGUUCGACCUGGCCGAUAGUUUGUGGGUGAUAGACAGAAGCAUAAUCGAGCUUGAUGCCCAUGUUUUUGCACCAGAGUUUUACCUCGUUGGCCAUGAAGUUCGUGUCAUUGUCAGUGAUGAUGCUGUGGGGGACGCCGUAACGGUGUACAACCCCGGAUAUAAAGUCUAUCACUGGUCCGGAUUCGGCCGUCUUAACAGGCUUGGCUUCUAUCCAUUUGGUGAACUUAUCCACCAUGACGAGUAAGUAUUUUUGCUUGUGGGUUCCGCCUUUAAGGGGUCCAACCAUGUCAAGCCCCCAGACCGCGAAGGGCCAAGUAAUGGGGAUAGUUUGGAGGGCGGUGGGUGGCAUAUGGCUUUGGUUUGCAAAGAGCUGGCAACCGGUGCAUCGUUGGACUAAGUGCUGAGCAUCUGCCCGAGCCGUCGGCCAAUAAAAGCCUGUACGGAAGGCCUUGCUUACAAGGGACCGAGCUGCAGCGUGAUGACCGCCCAGUCUGGCAUGAAUUUCAGCCAGGAGGUUCCGCCCCUCCUCUUCGGAGAUGAACCUUUGAAGGACUCCGGUAGUGCUUUUCUUAUAAAGCUCUCUCUCGUGGACUCUGUAGGCUUUGGAUCACCGCACUAUGCAGCGUGCCUCAGUUUGGUCCUCGGGGAGUUCCUGCCUAGUAAGGUAGGCUAGGAAUGGUUCUGUCCACGGGGCGAUGACGGCCAUUAUUACGUGGGCUGAAGGUGUUAUUUCAUUGGUAGAGCCUCCGAUUGUCUCAGAAUGUUCGGUGUCGGGCAGUGCGGUUGGGUCCGGGCUGUUGUUGUUCGGCUCCCCUUCCCAUACUUCGGAUGGCUUGAACAGCCUUUCCAAGAAGAUAUUGGGGGGGACUACAUCGUGUUUUGCACCGAUGCGUGCUAGGACAUCUGCUGCCUGAUUAUUUUCCCGGGCUAUAUGGUGAAAUUCGAGCCCCUCGAACCGAGCUGACAUUUUUAGGACGGCGUUGCGGUAAGCUGCCAUUUUUGGAUCCUUGGCAUCAAAGUCUCCAUUUAUUUGGGAUAUUGCGAGGUUCGAGUCCCCGCGCACCUCUAGGCAUUGAAUGCCCAUGGAUACUGCCAUCCGGAGACCAUGUAAAAGGGCCUCAUAUUCGGCUGCAUUGUUGGAGUCCGUGUACAUAAUCUGGAGUACGUAUUGAACUGUGUCUCCUGUGGGGGAUGUCAAAACGACACCAGCCCCCAGUCCGGCCAACAUCUUGGAGCCGUCGAAAUGCAUGAUCCAAUUUGAAUAUGUGUUGUACUCUUUAGGGAGUUCGACCUCCGUCCAUUCUGCGACGAAGUCGGCCAAGACUUGCGACUUGAUGGCUCGCCGUGGCUUAUAAGUUAUGUCGAAUGGGAGGAGCUCAAUGGCCCAUUUUGCAAUCCGGCUCGUUGCGUCACGGUUUUUUAUAAUAUCGUUAAGUGGUACUUCCGAGGCUACUAUUAUUGAACACUCUUGAAAGUAGUGUCGUAGCUUCCGAGAUGCCAUGAAUACCGCGUACGCGAUCUUUUGAUAAUGCGGGUACCGUGAUUUGCAGGGAGUGAGGACAGUGGACACAUAAUAGACCGGCUUUUGAAGGGGGAAUUUGUGUCCGUCCGCUUCUCGUUCGACGACGAGCACUGCGCUUACAACCUGAUGUGUUGCUGCAAUGUAUAAUAGCAUUGGUUCGCCAAUGUUUGGCGCGGCCAGGACUGGGUUUGUUGCUAGUAUGGCUUUUAUUUUGUCGAGUCCGGCCAUGGCUGCAUCCAUCCAUUUGAAGUGUUCGGUGCGCCGAAGGAGGCAGUAAAGGGGUAGGGCCUUUUCUCCCAAGCAGGAGAUAAAGCGUCUUAGAGCCGCCACGCAUCCGGUUAAGUUUUGUAUUUAUUUGAGGUCCUUUGGGAUAUCCAGUUGUGACAGAGCUUGGAUCUUGGCUGGAUUUGCUUCAAUUCCUCUACCGGAUACUAUGAAGCCCAAGAGCUUUCCGGCUGGAACGCCGAAAACGCAUUUUUCCGGGUUGAGCUUGAUGUCGUAUGUUCGGAGGUUAUCAAAUGUGAGCCUCAAGUCGUCUACUAGAGAUUCAACAUGUCUUGUUUUGACAACCACAUCAUCUACAUAUGCCUCCACUGUUUUGUCGAUCUGGCUUGCCAGAUAUGUCUGAAUCAUGCGCUGAUAUGUUGCGCCGGCGUUUUUGAGCCCGAAGGGCAUCGUGUUGAAGCAGAAUGGCCCGUAUGGUGUGAUAAAUGCCGUUGCGGCUUGGUCUGGUUCUGCCAUCUUGAUUUGAUGGUAGCCAGAAUAUGCGUCAAGGAAACACAACGAAUCGUGUCCUGCGGUGGCGUCGAUAAUUUGAUCGAUGCGGGGGAGGGGGAAGGGAACCUUUGGGCAAGCCUUGUUAAGGUCUUUAAAAUCAACAUACAGGCGCCAGGAUUUGUCCUUCUUUGGUACCAUCACCAGGUUUGCUAGUCAGUCCGGAUGUUUUAUAUCUCUGAUGAAUCCGGCCUCCAAUAGCUUUGCUAGCUCCUCUCCCAUGGCCUGUCUCUUAGGUUCGGAAAAACGCCGAAGAGCCUGUUUGACAGGUUUGAAUCCUGUUUGGAUAUUUAAGCUGUGCUCGGCCAGCCUGCGUGGGAUUCCUGGCAUGUCUGAAGGAUGCCAGGCGAAAAUGUCCCAGUUCUCUCGUAGGAACUCUCGCAGUGCGGUGUCUACAUCAGGGUUUAACUGUGCCCCGAUGGAAGCUGUUUUAUUGGGGUCCGUUAGAUGGACUUGGAAUUUGACUAUUUUGUCCGCCGGUUUAAAGGAGGUGGACUUGGAUCUUUUGUCCAGUACCACAUCGUCCCUAUUUACCGUAGAGCGCAACACAGUCAGCUCCUCAGCCGCUAGGGCUUCGGACAGUGCCUCGAGGGCUAGUGCGGCUGUCUUGUUUUUGGUGCGGGGUGCUAUGUCCGGAUCACUAGCGAGAGUGAUGAUCCCGUUAGGCCCGGACAUCUUGAGCUUCAUGUACCCGUAAUGGGGUAUUGCUUGGAAGAUUGUAAACGCUUCCCGCCCUAGCAGAGCGUGAUAACCGCUGCUGAACGGAGCCACCUGGAACAUGACCUCUUCGGACCUGUAAUUAUCCAGCAUGCCGAACACCACAUCUAGUGUGAUUUUUCCUGUACAGUGCGCUUCCCGACUGGGGAUUAUUCCUCUAAAUGUUGUGCUGCUUUGCACAAUGCGGUUCCAGUCUAUUUCCAUUUUUUGAAGGGUUUCCUCAUAAAUGAGGUUCAAUCCGCUGCCGCCGUCCAUGAGUACCUUGGUAAAACGAAAGCCGUCCACUAUUGGACUGAGGACCAAUGCGGCUGGUGCUCGGGCUGUUCGGAAUUUAGGUUCAUCAUUGGCGUUAAAGGUAAUAGCCGUGUCACUCCAUGGGUUUAUUGUUGCUACUUGGUAGACUUCGGCAAGGCUGCGGAGUGUCCUUUUUCGCAUAUUAUUUGAUGCGAAAGUCUCGAAGACUGUUAAUACCGUAUUGGUGUCUCUGGGGUAGCUUUCUGUGGCCUCCGGAAUUAGGAGAUUUUCGCCAAUUUUGGCCACCUGCCGGAGUAUCCAACAUGCUCUAAGGCUGUGAGUUGGUGUGGCGUCCUCUGUACUGUGAAUUUUACAGCGUCCAUUAAGCCACCCUUCUAGUACGGUUCCAUGCCCUGUAGAGGGUUUUUGCUUUUUAGUGCUUGACCCGGGUGACUGGUGAUGAUGCACCCUUUUAUUUCGGACUUGGUUUGUAUUCAGGGCCGGAUUGUCCCAAAAUUUUAUUUCGGUUUUCCAGGCGCUUUCCAUCGCACAGUACUUUCGUACAAUGGAUGCCAACUCAGCGAAGCGUGUAAUAUCACGGCGACUUAUGGUGUUGAGUAUUCCCUUGUCCGUGCAAUUAUUGCAGAAGAUUGAGAUUACGUCUUCCUCGCGCAGUCCCUUAGCCUGUUCUUAACCCGGAGGAAUCUGGCCCAGUAAUGAUGUACUGUUUCAUCGGGUUCUUGCGUGAUUUUGGAUAGAUCGCUUAUGUUGGGGUGGGUGGGUGGAAUUAAAUCCGAAGCCUCGCCCCAUCUAAGGCUCAGAGGCCGAGGAAUUUCUGAACUCGAAAAUUUGGAUUCCUGGAUGUUGUCUAAUGAAUCCAGCCCGUCGCCUGACUCUAAGUUCAGGUCUUGAGUGAUAUCCUCCCCUCCGCGGGUAUCCAGCUUGGAGGGAUCGGGAAUCCGGACGUAGCAAGUCCUUAAGAUAGAUGAAGGGUCGUCGCGCUGUCCCUCUACCACGGCAACAUGAUGGGUGACUUGGGGAGAGUUAAUCUCUCUCAGAUCAGUUUUAGGCCCAAUAUGGUCGUAAUCCGUAGCGACUCCCAGGGUGGCGAAGCGAUCCAAGAGCUCGUUUAUGGAGGAAAGCUCUAUUGGAUCUAACUGCUCGGCAAGUUCCGAGUUGACAUGAAGAUUGUUUUCGAUGGCUCGAGAGGUCAUCGUCGGCGCAGAAGUCGAACAGGCGGUCAUAAGAAAGCCACCUAACCGGAGUGUUUGGCCGACAGCCAAAGCUCCCUUAGCAAUGGUGCCGUCUUUAAAGACGGGGCGAGGCAUCCUUCCUGAUGGCGACGACACAGAGGAACUCUUAAUGAAAGCACCAAUGUCGGUGUCAAAACCGGCGGAUCUCGGGUAGGGGGUCCCGAUCUGUGCGUCUAGGCCGGAUGGUAACAGGAGACAAGGGACACGAAGUUUUACCCAGGUUCAGGCCCUCUCGAUGGAGGUAAAACCCUACGUCCUGCUUGAUUAAUAUUGAUGGUAUGGGUAGUACAAGAGUAGAUCUACCACGAGAUCGAUGAGGCUAAACCCUAGAAGCUAGCCUAUGGUAUGAUUGUUGAUGUGUAUGUUGUCCUACGGACUAAAACCCUCCGGUUUAUAUAGACACCGGAUAGGGUUAGGGUUACAUAGAGUCGGUUACAAUGGUAGGAGAUCUUCAUAUCCGUAUCGCCAAGCUUGCCUUCCACGCCAAGGAAAGUCCCUUUCGGACACGGGACGGAGUCUUCAAUCUUGUAUCUUCGUAGUCCGGGAGUCCGGCUGAAGGUAUAGUCCGGCUAUCCGAACACCCCGUAAUCCAAGACUCCCUCAGUGGCCCUAGUGGCUUCUUGGGGAGCAUUGUGCCUCCACACCGAUCCAAAUGGAGAUUAGAAUAUGCAAGUGUGUGAACUUCAGGAUACAUCGUCGUCUCCGCAUGCCUCGGUUAUCUCUUACCCGAGCCCUUUGCUUAUGCACUUUACUUUGUGAUAGACAUAUUGUUCUUUGUCAUAUAUCUUGCUAUCACAUAGUUGCUUAUCUUGCUUAGCAUAAGUUGUUGGUGCACAUAGGUGAGCCUAGUUGUUUUAGGUUUUGUGCUUGGCAAAUUAACCGCUAGGUUUAUUCCGCAUUUGUUCAAGCCUAAACCGUAAUUAUUUUAAAGCGCCUAUUCAACCCCCCUCUACGCGACAUCCACGAUCUUUCAGCUUCCUCGAAGCUUCCCUGAUGUCUACUCCAAGUCUCCUGGAUUGCUUCCGUUCCAAAAAUAACUCUCCCGAAGGUUUCAUUCCGUUUGGACUCUGUUUGAUAUUACUUUUCUUCGAAACACUGAAAUAGGCAAGAAAACAACAAUUUGGGCUGGGCCUCCGGUUAAUAGGUUAGUCCCAAAAAUUAUAUAAAAGUGUUUAGUAAAGCCCAUAAACAUCCAAAACAGAUAAUAUAAUAGCAUGAAUACUACAUAAAUUAUAGAUACGUUGGAGACGUAUCAGCAUCCCCAAGCUUAUGCUAAGCAAGAUAAGCAACUUAUGCUAAGCACCGAUGACAACUUACUUGAAGGAUCUUACUCAAUCCAUAGGUAGGUAUGGUGGACUCUCAUGGCGAUACUGGUUUAAGGGAUGUUUGGAAGCACAAGUAGUAUCUCUACUUGGUGCAAAGAAUAUGGCUAGCAUGAGGGGGAAAGGCAAGCUCAGCAUGUUGAAUGAUCCAUGACAAUAUACUUUAUUUCAGAUAUAAGAAAACAUAACCCAUUACGUUGUCUUCCUUGUCCAACAUCAACCUUUUAACAUGUCAUAUUUUAAUGAGUUCUCACAAUUACAAAAGAUGUCCAACAUAGUAUAUUUAUAUGUGAAAUCUCUCUUCCUUCAAUAUUCUUUCAUGAAUUGUUCAAGUGACCAAUACAAUGUUUGCUAACCUUAAAUAAAUUUACCACCUCUACUUCUUAUAUGUGAAGUCAUUACUCCCCAUGGGAUAAGCAUAUGAAACAUAUAUAAUUUCAGAUUUAUUAUAUUCAAUUCAUUCAACUAUUUACUCAUAGGAUAUAAGUGAAGCACACGAGUAAAUGACAAACUACUCCAAAAAGAUAUAAGUGAAGCACACGAGUAAAUGACAAACUACUCCAAAAAGAUAUAAGUGAAGAUCAAUGAGUAGUUAAAUAAUUAGCUAUGUGAAGACUCUCCAUUUAAUAAUUUCAGAUCUUGAUAUUCUAUUCAAACAGCAAGCAAAACAAGAUAAAAUGACAUUCUAAGAAUAGCAAACAUCAUGUGCAGAAGCAAAAACUUAGGAUCAACCGAUACUAACUGAUAGUUGUCGAAGAAGAAAGGUGGGAUGCCAACCGGGGCAUCCCCAAGCUUAGACGAUUGAGACUUCUUGAAAUAUUAUCUUGGGAUGCCUUCGGCAUCCCCAAGCUUGAGCUUUUGUGUAACACCCAUGAUGCGGCUAUAUCUCCCACGUGUCGGAGCACGACUUAGAGGCAUAACCGCAUUGUAGGCAAUGUCGCAAGAGGGGUAAUCUUUACACAUCCCAUGUACUGAAUAAGAAAGAGGUACAUAGUUGGCUUACAAUCGCCACUUCACACAAUAACAUAAAUAUAGCAUUACAAUCAUCCAGAUACAAUAAAGGUCUGACUACGGAACCAAAAUAAAGACAACCCCAGAUGCAUAAGAUCCCCGAUCGCCCCAACUGGGCACCACUACUGACCGUCUAGAAAGGAAACAUAGUAUCGUCCUGAGUCCUCAUCGAACUCCCACUUGAUAUCAGUCGCAUCCCGUGGAACAGUAUCAUCGGCACCUGCAUCUGGUUUUGGAAGUAAUCUGUGAGUCAUGGGGACUCAACAAUCUCACACCCUCGCGAUCAAGACUAUUUAAGCUUAUGGGUAGGCAAAAGGUAUGAGGUGGAGCUGCAACAAGCACUAGCAUAUAUGGUGGCUAACAUACGCAAAUGAGAGCAAUAAGAGAAGGCAAAGCAUGUUCGAGAAUCUAUGAUCAAGAAGUGAUCCUAGGCUACUUACGUUCAAGCAUAACACGAGACCGUGUUCUCUUCCCGGACUCCGCCGAAAAGAGACCAUCACGGCUACUCACUCGGUUGAUCCAAUUUAAUUAAGUUAAGUUUCAGUUUUUCUACAACCAGACAUUAACAAAUUCCCAUCUGCCCAUAACCGCGGGCACGGCUUUCGAAAGUUCAAAUCCCUGUAGGGGUGUCCCAACUUAUUCCAUCACAAGCUCUCACGGCAAACGAAGGAUAUUCCUUCUCCCAGAACGACCCGAUCAGACUCGGAAUCCCGGUUAAAAGACAUCUCGAUAAUGGUAAAACUAAACCAGCAAAGCCGCCGAUGUGCCAACAAAUCCCGAUAGGAGUCGCACGUAUCUCGUUCUGAGGGCACACCGGAUAGGUCAAGCUACGAGUAAAACCAACCCUCGAGUUGCCCCGAGGUGGCCCCGCGGGCUGCCCGUUUCGGACCAACACUCAAAGGAGCACUGGCCCGGGGGGUUUAAAAUAAAGAUGACCCUUGAGUCCGCGAAACCCAAGGGAAAAAGGCUAGGUGGAAAAUGGUAAAACCAAGGUUGGGCCUUGCAGGAGGAGUUUUAUUCAAGGUGAACUGUCAAGGGGUUCCCAUUAUAACCCAACCGCGUAAGGAACGCAAAAUCAAGGAACAUAACACCGGUAUGACGGAAACUAGGGCAGCAAGAGUGGAACAAAACACCAGGCAUAAGGCCGAGCCUUCCACCCUUUACCAAGUAUAUAGGUGCAUUAAAGUAAACAAGAUAUAAUAGUGAUAUCCCAACAAUAAACAUGUACCAACAAGGAACAAACUCCAAUCUUCACCUGCAACUAACAACGCUAUAAGAGGGGCUGAGCAAAGCGGUAACAUAGCCAAACAACGGUUUGCUAGGACAAGGUGGGUUAGAGGUUUGACAUGGCAAUAUGGGAGGCAUGAUAAAGCAUGUGGUAGGUAUCGAGGCAUAGGCAUAGCAAUAGAGCGAGCAUCUAGCAAGCAAAUAUAGAAGUGAUUUCGAGGGUAUGGUCAUCUUGCCUGCAAAGUUCUCCGAGUUCGCGUAAGCUUGAUCCUCGUAAGCGAACUCAACGGGUUCCUCGAUCACGUGCUCGUCUCCCAGAUCUACCCAAAGCAAGAACACAAGCAAAUGGAGACACAAUCAACCACGGUGCAAUGCGCAAGCAACAUGAUGCAAAACAUGGCAUGAUAUGCGGGAUGUGAUAUGCAAUGCAUAUGCAUGCUCCAGAAGGAAAAGAUUGAACCAUGCCUCAACUUGGAAAACCAAGAGUGCCCCGGAAAGAUGAGUUGAUUUUGGUCAAAUCGAUAUAAAUAUCACCGAAAUCAGAUGCACGGUUUGCAAAUGGCAAGCAAAACAAUAAUGGCACCAAUCUGCGAUUAACAGCACGAUGCCAUCUAAAUGCAUCAAGAAAAAUAAGCUACUGCACUCUAACAUAGCAACAAAGCACAUGGCAGUGAUCCACUCAAGAUGAUUGACAAAAGAUGAACACUGAGAUACGGCUAAAUCACACAAUAGAAGGUUCAAACAAGCAUGGCAAAAGUGCAAAAGAUAUCAGGUUCACGGACUUAGUGAAAAUAACAACAUGUCAGGAUUUAACAUCAGGAAGCAAUGAUUAGAGCAAGAUAACAACAUGCUACAGGAACAUAUCAUGGCAAAGCAAGGCAUGGCAUGAAACUACUCAAAGCAUAUAACAAAAGUCCCUUACUGACCAUAAGCCAAAAGGGAUCAGAAAAUACAAUGGCAACCAUGUAAACAUAACAAGUUUUGUUAACAGAUUCAGACUUAGCAGAAAACUGGACCUGGCAAAAAUAGAGUUACAUAGGCAUGUUUGUGAGCUCGAUGCACUCACCACAAGGCAUUGCAUGACAAACUAAGCAUACACCCAACAAGAAGACAUGAUCAAUAAGCUAACCAUGGCAAGAACACUCUCAUCUCAUGCAUGGAUCAACUACAAUAACCUCAGCAAAAUUGAUUAACAUGUAAACAAUUUGCCAGGAACAUUUUAUAGCAAAAGUAGAGCAAGAUUGAGUCAUGCUAGGGUACUCCAUAAUUGCAAACAAAGACAUGGAUGGAUAGAGCAUAACAAUAUCUCAAAAUCAUCCUUACUGAACAUGCUCAAAAGAGGCAUGGAUCACUCUGUAGCAACAAGAAUACAUGGCAUAAAAAUAACAUCAGGGAAAUGACUUAGAAGAAUUCUAAGUCCCUGAAAUCAGCAACAUCACGAGAGCUACUUUGCAUGACUAUGCUAGUCACCACAUUGAUCACAAAAAUACAUGGCAUGCACCCCUGUAAAUAUGGCAUGGCAUAUCCCGAAACACAUGUAGGGCUCAAGUUCAUAGGAGGCACACAUUAAUCAUGGCAAAAAUGUCAAAUGUCCAUAAUCUGUUAAGAAUCAGAACCUAACAUUACAUAGCACUCUUGCAACAACAUUUAGGGCAUCAAGAUGAACUCAAAUGAACAUGGUGCAAUGGAAUGAAAUGAAGUGCACAUCCAGACGAACAAUUUGAUAUGCUACACGCCCAAAACGGAGCUACGGAUGCAAAGAUAUGACAUGAUGAAGAUAGCUAAAAAUGUUAGGGACUUAGGGGGAAAACGAGGUCAACCCCUAGGGUUUCACUGUAGCAGAUCUAGAUCGGGGCACGCUUCCCGAGGUUAGUCGGGACCUUGCCGGCGAUGAAGGCAGGACGGUGGCCGGAGUUGGAUGGAGGAGGCCGGAGCUUGAAGAGAAGGACAGGGGCGGCGCGGAUCCGGUUGCCGGGGCGCGGUGCGGGCGAUGAGGCGCAAUGUUGGGCGCCCGGUGGCGACGAGUGGUCAUGGCGNNNNNNNNNNNNNNNNNNNNNNNNNNNNNNNNNNNNNNNNNNNNNNNNNNNNNNNNNNNNNNNNNNNNNNNNNNNNNNNNNNNNNNNNNNNNNNNNNNNNNNNNNNNNNNNNNNNNNNNNNNNNNNNNNNNNNNNNNNNNNNNNNNNNNNNNNNNNNNNNNNNNNNNNNNNNNNNNNNNNNNNNNNNNNNNNNNNNNNNNNNNNNNNNNNNNNNNNNNNNNNNNNNNNNNNNNNNNNNNNNNNNNNNNNNNNNNNNNNNNNNNNNNNNNNNNNNNNNNNNNNNNNNNNNNNNNNNNNNNNNNNNNNNNNNNNNNNNNNNNNNNNNNNNNNNNNNNNNNNNNNNNNNNNNNNNNNNNNNNNNNNNNNNNNNNNNNNNNNNNNNNNNNNGGGGCGGCUGCGGCGCUUCGGGCCGGGAGGGCCUCCCGCGGGCCCUGUGGGCCAACGAAGUGGGCGCGGCGGCGAGCGAACCCGGAGCUGACACGUGGCGGCGGCGGGCGGUGGGAUUUUUGUCCGGCGGCGCCCGGACACGUCUGGCGGUGUGGAGGGGAGAGGAAGCUAGGGUUUCAACCGGAUUUUUGGGGAGGGUUGCACAUAUUUAUAGGUAGAGGGAGUUUGGAGUGUCCAAAUGAGGUGCGGUUUUCGGCCACGCGAUCGUGAUCGAAUGACCGAGAUGAUGGAGGGGGUUUAGGUGGAUUUUGGGCCACUUUGGAGAGGUGUUGGGCUGCAACACACACGAGGCCUUUACUGUUCCUCGGUUAACCGUUGGAGUAUCAAACGAAGUCCAAAUGGCACGAAACUUGACAGGCGGUCUACCGGUGGUAUACCAAGGCCGCUUGGCAAGUCUCGGUCCAAUCCGAGAAUGUUUAACACCCGCACAUGAAAAGUGGCAAAAGGGGACGCCGGAGGACAUAGGAGUACCGGAAUGCAAAACGGACAACGGGGAAAAUGCUUGGAUGCAUAUGAGACGAACACAUAUGCAAAUGCGAUGCACAUGAUGACAUGAUAUGAGAUGCAAGACAUGGACAAAAGCAAAACGAAGACAAAACCCAACCACGAGGGAAAUAUCAUAACUUAGUGCCGAAAAUGGUGAGAGUUGGAAUACAAAUAUGGCAAGUUACAUACGGGGCGUUACAACACUCCACCACUACGAAAGGAUCUCGUCCCGAGAUCUAGGACUGGAAAAAAUCUGGAUAUUCGGAACGGAGGUGGUCCUCGCGUUCCCAGGUGGCUUCACGGUCGGAAUGAUGUGACCACUUCACUUUCAGGAAUUUGAUAGACUUGUUGCGAGUCUUGCGCUCAGUUUCUUCAAGAAUAGCAACGAGAUGCUCAUGAUAAGACAGGUCUUCUUGGAGAUCAAUCUCUUCGAAGUUGAUGGUGCGGUCAGGAGUCUUGAAACACUUGCGAAGCUGAGAAACAUGAAACACGUCGUGCACGUUUGCAAAGUUGGAUGGAAGCUCAAGUUGAUAGGCGAGAUCGCCUCUUUUGCCAAUGAUCUUGAAAGGACCCACGUAUCUAGGGGCAAGCUUCCCUUUGAUACCGAAGCGACGAGUACCUUUCAUUGGAGAGACGCAGAGGUAGACAUGGUCUCCGAUCUCGAAAGCCAAGUCACGAUGCUUGCUAUCAUAGUAACUCUUCUGGCGCGAUUGCGCGGCUUUGAGAUUUUCACGAAUGACUUUGCACAUUUCUUCAGCCUCUGUGAUCAAGUCAUUGCCAAGAAGUUGGCAUUCACCAGUCUCUGACCAGUUAAGAGGAGUACGACACUUUCUGCCAUAGAGAAUCUCGAAUGGGGCCUUGCCCAAACUCGCUUGGAAGCUAUUGUUGUAGGAGAACUCGGCAUAUGGAAGACAAUCUUCCCACUUCAUACCGAAAGAAAUGGCACAUGCCCUGAGCAUAUCUUCAAGAAUUUGGUUGACCCGCUCGACUUGGCCACUAGUUUGAGGAUGAAAAGUUGUGCUAAAAUGAAUGUUGGUGCCCAUGGCCUUCUGAAAAGAAUCCCAGAACUUAGAGGUAAAGAUGCUUCCACGAUCUGAAGAUAUCAACUGCGGAAUGCCAUGCAGAGAGACAAUCCUAGAGGUAUAUAGCUCUUCCAACUGAGCUGCUGUGAUAGAUUCUUUGAUAGGAAGGAAAUGAGCCACUUUAGUGAGCUUGUCGAUGACAACGAAGAUAGCAUCAUUGCCACGCUUGGACUUGGGAAAUCCAGUCACGAAGUCCAUCUCAAUAUGGUCAAACUUCCAUUCUGGAAUGGCAAGAGGUUGGAGGAGACUAGCUGGUCGUUGGUGUUCUGCUUUCACUCUUCUGCAGACAUCACAUUCAUUCACGAACUGAGCAAUCUCGCGCUUCAUUCGAGUCCACCAAUACGACUGCUUGAGGUCAUGGUACAUCUUUGUACUUCCAGGGUGAAUAGAGAGGAGUGAAUUGUGAGCCUCGUUCAUAAUGACUUUACGAAGGUAACCCUUAGGAACAACAAUUCGAUCCUUGAAGAAUAGAGUAUCCUUGUCAUCAAGGCGAUAGCACUUGUACUUGGGUUGGCUCUUGGCAAUCCCAAUCUUCACCUUCUUCACCAUGGCAUCAAGAAGUUGAGCCUCACGAAUCUGAUCUUCCAAAGUAGGAGAUACUUGGAGGUUGGCAAGUAAUCCUUGAGGAACAACUUGGAGAUUAAGUUUGCGGAAAGCUUCACAAAGCUCUGGUUGGUAGGGCUUGAGAAUCAAACUGUUGCAGUAAGCCUUCCUGCUCAAUGCGUCAGCAAUUACAUUGGCCUUGCCUGGAGUAUAUUCGAUACUCGGAUUAUACUCUUGAAUCAUCUCGACCCAAUGAGUCUGCCUGAGGUUGAGGUUGGGCUGAGUGAAGAUGUACUUGAGACUCUUAUGAUCAGUGAAGAUGUCCACUUUUCUUCCCAACAAGAGAUGUCUCCAUGUUAAAAGAGCAUGGACAACUGCCGCCAACUCGAGGUCAUGAAUGGGGUAGUUAUUUUCGUUGGGCUUCAACUGGCAAGAGGUAUAGGCCACAACUUUCUUCUCUUGCAUUAACACAGCACCGAGACCUUGCAGGCAAGCAUCACAGAAAACCUUGAAUGGUUUGGAUUCAUCAGGAGGAGUCAGAACUAGAGCCGUGACUAACUUCUCUUUGAGGGUGUGAAAGCGAUGUCACAUUCAGGCGUCCAGACAUACUUCACAUGCUUCUAGAGGAGGUUGGAAAGAGGCUUCAUGAUCUUAGAGAAAUUCUCAACGAACCUUCGACAAUAGCUUGCGAGCCCAAGGAAGCUGCGGAGUUGCUUCACAUUCUGAGGCGGUUCCCAAUUCAUAAUUGCAGACACCUUCUCGGGAUUAACAGCUAUGCCCUUGGCAGAGAUGAUAUGCCCAAGGUAGAGAACCUCAUCGAGCCAAAACUCGCACUUAGAAAACUUCGCAUAGAACUGAUGUUCUCUGAGUUUGUCUAGCACCAAUCUCAAGUGCUUGGCAUGAUCCUCCUUGUUCUUGGAAAAGACCAAAAUGUCAUCAAGAUAGACCAAGACGAAGUCAUUUGUGUAGGGGUUGAAGAUGAAGUUCAUCAUGCGAGAGAAUGUUGGAGGAGCAUUGACAAGGCCGAAAGACAUGACAGUGUAUUCAUAUGAACCAUAGCUUGUUCUGAAUGUUGUCUUGGGGAUAUCUUGUUCAUGAAUGCGAAUCUGAUGAUAGCCCAUACGAAGGUCAAGCUUGGAGAAUACUUGAGCACCUUUGAGCUGUUCGAAAAGCUCAUUGAUGUUGGGAAGUGGGUACUUGUUCUUUAUGGUCUUCUUGUUCAAUGGACGAUAGUUGACACAAAGUCGGUCCGUUCCAUCCUUCUUCUUGACAAAAAGAACACCACAACCCCAUGGAGAAGAACUUGGUCAGAUGAGACCCAUACGCUCUUGAAUAUCGAGUUGUUUCUUCAGCUCCUUCAACUCUUCUGGUCCAAGCUUGUAAGGACGUUUACAAACAGGUUCCGUGCCAGGCUCAAGAUCGAUGACGAAUUCAACUGGCCGGUGAGGAGGCUUUCCUGGAAGCUCUUUGAUACGUCCAUUUUGCAUCAUGCUUUUAUAUCAAUAUUUAUUGCAUUAUGGGCUGUUAUUUCACAUUAUGUCACAAUACUUAUGGCUAUUCUCUCUUGUUUUACAAGGUUUACAUAAGGAGGGAGAAUGCCGGCAGCUGGAAUUCCGGGCAGGAAAAGGAGCAAAUAUUAGAGACCUAUUCUACACAACUCCAAAAGUCCUGAAACUCCACGGAACACCUUAUAAUAAAUAAUGAAAAAUCAUCGCCAAAGAUGAAGACCAGGGGGGCCACACCCUUCUCACGAGGGUGGGGGGCGCGCCCCCUGCCUCGUGGGCCCCCUGGUGGCUCUCCGAUGACCAUCUUCUCCUAUAUGAAGUCUUUCGUCGAGAAAAAAAAUAAAAAAACAACCUUUCGGGACGAAACUCCGCCGCCACGAGGCGGAACCUUGGCGGAUCCAAUCUAGAGCUCCGGCAGAGCUGUUCUGCCGGGGAAAUUUCCCUCUCGGAGGGGGAAAUCAUCGCCAUCGUCAUCACCAACGCUCCUCUCAUCGGGAGAGGGCAAUCUCCAUCAACAUCUUCAUCAGCACCAUCUCAUCUCAAAACCCUAGUUCAUCUCUUGUAUCCAAUUCUUGUCUCCAAGUCCGGGAUUGGUGCUAGUAGGUUGCUAGUAGUGUUAAUUACUCCUUGUAGUUGAUGCUAGUUGGUUUAAUUGGUGGAAGAUCAUAUGUUCAGAUCCUUUAUGCAUAUUAAUACCCCUCUGAUUAUGAACAUGUUUAUGCUUUGUGAGUAGUUACGUUUGUUCCUGAAGACAAGGGAGAAGUCUUACUAUUAGUAGUCAUGUGAAUUUGGUAUUCGUUCGAUAUUUUGAUGAGAUGUAUGUUGUCUAGCCUCUAGUGGUGUUAUGUGAACGUCGACUACAUAACACUUCACCAUUAUUUGGGCCUAUAGGAAGGCAUUGGAAAGUAAUAAGUAGAUGAUGGGUUGCUAGAGUGACAGAGGCUUAAACCCUAGUUUAUGCGUUGCUUCGUAAGGGGCUGAUUUGGAUCCAUAUGUUUCAUGCUAUGGUUAGAUUUACCUUAAUACUUUUGUUGUAGUUGCGGAUGCUUGCAAUAGAGGUUAAUCAUAAGUGGAUGCUUGUUCAAGUAAGAACAGCACCCAAGCACCGGUCCACCCACAUAUCAAAUUAUCAAAUUACCGAACGUGAAUCAUAUGAAUGUGAUGAAAACUAGCUUGACGAUAUUCCCAUGUGUCCUCGGGAGCGUUUUUCCUUACAUAAGAGUUUGUCUAGGCUUGUCCUUUGCUACAAAAAGGAUUGUGCCACCUUGCUGCACUUUAUUUACUUUUGUUACUUGUUGCUCGUUACAAAUUAUCUCAUCACAAAACUAUUUGUUACCACUUAUUUCAGUACUUGCAUAGAAUACCUUGCUGAAAACCGUUUAUCAUUUCCUUCUGCUCCUCGUUGGGUUCGACACUCUUACUUAUCGAAAGGACUAUGAUAGAUCCCUUAUACUUGUGGGUCAUCAAGACUCUUUUCUGGCACCUUUGCCGGGGAGUGAAGCGCCUUUGGUAGGUGGAAUUUGGUAUGGAAAAAUUUAUAUAGUGUGCUGAAAUUUAUUGUCACUUGUUACUAUGGAAAGUAAUCCUCUGAGGGGCUUGUUCGGGGUAUCUUCACCCCGACCAGUAGAGCAAAGAGUUGCUCCUCAACCUACUAAACCUAUUGAAAAUGAAAUUCCUUAUGAGUAUCCUUCUAGUAUAAUAGAAAAACUGCUGGCUAAUCCUUUUACAGGAGAUGGAACAAAGCAUCCUGAUGAACACCUGAUAUAUGUGGAUGAAGUUUGUGGAUUAUUUAAGCUUGCAGGUAUUCCCGAUGAUGUUGCUAAGAAGAAGGUCUUCCCUUUAUCUUUGAAGGGAGACGCAUUGACAUGGUAUAGGCUAUGUGAUGAUAUGGGAUCAUGGAACUAUAGAAGAUUGAAAUUGGAAUUCCAUCAAAAGUAUUACCCUAUGCAUCUUGUUCAUCGUGAUCGCAAUUAUAUAUAUAAUUUUUGGCCUCGCGAAGGAUAAAGCAUCACUCAAGCUUGGGGGAGGCUUAAAUCAAUGUUAUAUUCAUGCCCCAAUCAUGAGCUUCCAAGAGAAACAAUUCUUCAAAAAAAUUAUGCUUGGCUUUCUGAAAAUAAUCGCACCAUGCUUGAUACUUCUUGUGCUGGCUCUUUUAUGAUGAAGACUAUUGGAUUUAGAUGGGAUUUAUUGGAUAGAAUUAAACACAACUUUGAAGAUUGGGACCUCGAUAAUGGUAAGGAGUCAGGUAUGACACCUAAGUUUGAUUGUGUUAAAUCUUUUAUGGAUACCGAUAUUUUCCGUAAGUUUAGCACUAAAUAUGGACUUGAUUCUGAGAUAGUAGCUUCUUUCUGUGAAUCUUUUGCUACUUAUGUUGAUCUCCCUAAGGAGAAGUGGUUUAAAUAUCAUCCUCCCAUAGAAGUAAAAGUAGUUGCACCUAUUAAAGUUGAAGAAAAGACUGUCACUUAUAAUGAUCCUAUUGUUCCUACUUGUUAUGUUGAGAAACCACCUUUCCCUGUUAGGAUAAAGGAUCAUGCUAAAGCUUCAACUGUAGUUCGUAAAAGCAAUAUUAAAACAUAUACACCUCCUGAGCAAGUUAAAAUUGAACCUAGUAUUGCUAUUGUUAAAGAGCUCUUGUCUGAUAAUAUUGAUGGACAUGUUAUCCAGUUCUGCGGUGAAACUGCUAGAAUUGCUAAACCUUGUGCUAAAGAUAAACAUAGACCUGUGGUAGGCGUGCCUGUUAUUUCUGUUAAAAUAGGAGAUCAUUGUUAUCAUGGCUUAUGUGAUAUGGGUGCUAGUGCUAGUGUUAUACCUUAUGACUUGUAUAAAGAAAUCAAGCAUGAAAUUGCACCUGCUGAGUUAGAAGAUAUUGAUGUCACAAUUAAACUUGCUAAUAGAGAUACUAUUUCAGCAAUGGGAAUUGUUAGAGAUGUUGAAGUCUUGUGCGGGAAAACUACAUAUCCUGCUGAUUUUCUUGUUCUUAGUUCUCCACAAGAUAGCUUUUGUCCCAUUAUAUUUGGUAGACCCUUCUUGAAUACAAUUAAUGCUAGGAUAGACUGCGAAAAGAAUGUUGUUACUAUUGGCUUGGAUAAUAUUACUCAUGAGUUUAAUUUCUCUAAAUUUAGAGAAGAAUUGCCUAGUAAGGAUGAAAUUAUUGGUCUUUCUUCUAUUGCCGUACCUCCUAAUGAUCCUUUAGAACAAUAUUUGCUAGACCAUGAGAAUGAUAUGUUUAUGAAUGAAAGAAGGGAAAUAGAUGAAGUAUUCUUUAAACAAGAACCUAUGCUAAAACACAAUUUGCCUGUUGAAAUCCUAGGGGAUCCUCCUCCACCUAAGGGUGAUCUCGUGUUUGAGCUUAAACCGUUGCCUGAUAAUCUUAAAUAUGCUUAUCUUGAUGAAAAGAAGAUAUAUCCUGUUAUUAUUAGUGCUAACCUUUCAGAGCAUGAAGAAGAAAGAUUAUUGAAAACUCUGAAGAAGCACUGUGCUGCUAUUGGAUAUACUCUUGAUGAUCUUAAGGGCAUUAGUCCCACUCUAUGUCAACAUAAAAUAAAUUUGGAAGCAGAUGCCAAACCAGUUCAUGAUCCUCAACGACGUAUGAAUCCUAAAAUGAAAGAAGUGGUAAGAAAAGAAAUACUAAAGCUUCUAGAGGUAGGUAUAAUUUAUCCCGUUGUUGAUAGUUAGUGGGUAAGUCAUGUUCAUUGUGUCCCUAAGAAGGGAGGUAUUACUGUUGUUCCUAAUGAUAAAGAUGAAUUGAUUCCACAAAGAAUUAUUACCGGUUAUAGGAUGGUAAUUGAUUUCCGCAAAAUAAAUAAGGCUACUAAGAAAGAUCAUUACCCCUUACCUUUUAUCGAUCAAAUGCUAGAAAGAUUAUGCAAACAUACACAUUACUGCUUUCUAGGUGGUUAUUCUGGUUUCUCUCAAAUACCUGUGUCGGCUAAAGAUCAAUCAAAGACUACUUUUGCAUGCCCUUUUGGUACUUUUGCUUAUAGAUGUAUGGCUUUUGGUUUAUGUAAUGCACCUGCUACCUUUCAAAGAUGCAUGAUGGCUAUAUUCUCUGACUUUUGUGAAAAGAUUUGUGAGGUUUUCAUGGACGACUUUUCGAUCUAUGGAUCUUCUUUUGAUGAUUGCUUGAGCAAUCCUGAUCGAGUUUUGUAGAGAUGUGAAGAAACUAAUCUUGUCUUGAAUUGGGAAAAGUGCCACUUUAUGGUUAAUGAAGGUAUUGCCUUGGGCAUAAAGUUUCUGAAAGAGGUAUUGAAGUUGAUAAAGCCAAGGUUGAUGCUAUUGAAAAGAUGCCAUGUCCCAAGGACAUCAAAGGUAUAUGAAGUUUCCUUGGUCACGCCGGAUUUUAUAGGAGGUUCAUCAAGGACUUCUCGAAAAUUUCUCGGCCUCUGACUAAUUUAUUACAAAAAGAUAUACCAUUUGUCUUUAAUGAUGAUUGUGUAGAAGCAUUUGAAAUACUUAAGAAAGCAUUAGUCUCUGCACCUAUUGUUCAGCCACCUGAUUGGAAUUUACCCUUUGAAAUUAUGUAUGAUGCUAGCGAUUAUGUUGUAGGUGCUGUUCUAGGGCAAAGAGUUGAUAAGAAAUUAAAUGUUAUCCAUUAUGCUAGUAAGACUCUAGACAAUGCUCAAAUAAAUUAUGCUACUACUGAAAAAGAACUUUUAGUAGUUGUAUUUGCUUGUGAUAAGUUCAGACCUUAUAUUGUUGAUUCUAAAGUAACUAUCCACACUGAUCAUGUUGCUAUUAAAUAUCUUAUGGAGAAGAAAGAUGCUAAACCUAGACUUAUUAGAUGGGUUCUCUUGCUACAAGAAUUUGAUUUGCAUAUUAUUGAUAGAAAAGGAGCUGAGAACCCCGUUGCAGAUAACUUAUCUAGGUUAGAGAAUGUUCUUGAUGACCCACUACCUAUUGAUGAUAGCUUUCCUGAUGAACAAUUAAAUGUCAGAAGUACUUCUCGUAGUACCCAUUGGUAUGCUGAUUAUGCUAAUUACAUAGUUGCUAAAUUUAUACCACCUAUCUUCACAUACCAACAAAAUAAAAAGUUUUUCUAUGAUUUGAGACAUUACUUUUGGGAUGACCCACAUCUUUAUAAAGAAGGAGUAGAUGGUGUUAUUAGACAUUGUGUACCUGAGCAUGAACAGGAACAAAUCCUAGGCAAGUGCCGCUCCGAAACUUAUGGAGGACACCACGCGGGAGAUAGAACUGCACAUAAGGUAUUGUAAUCCGGUUUUUAUUGGCCUACUCUCUUCAAGGAUGCCCGUAAGUUUGUCCUGUCUUGUGAUGAAUGUCAAAGAAUUGGUAAUAUUAGUAGACGUCAAGAAAUGCCUAUGAACUAUUCACUUGUUAUUGAACCGUUUGAUGUUUGGGGAUUUGAUUAUAUGGGACCUUUUCCUGCCUCUAAUGGAUAUACACAUAUUUUAGUUGUUGUUGAUUACGUUACUAAGUGGGUAGAAGCUAUUCCAACUAGUAGUGAUGAUCAUUACACUUCUAUUAAAAUGCUUAAAGACGUUAUUUUUCCGAGGUUUGGAGUCCCUAGAUAUUUAAUGACUGAUGGUGGUUCACAUUUUAUUCAUGGUGCUUUCCGUAAAAUUCUUGCUAAAUAUGACGUCAAUCAUAGAAUUGCAUCUCCGUAUCACCCACAGUCUAGUGGUCAAGUAGAAUUGAGUAAUAGAGAACUCAAAUUAAUUUUGCAAAAGACUGUCAAUAGGUCUAGAAAGAAUUGGUCCAAGAAACUUGAUGAUGCAUUAUGGGCCUAUAGAACUGCAUAUAAAAAUCCUAUGGGUAUGUCUCCAUAUAAAAUGGUAUAUGGAAAAGCAUGUCACUUACCUCUCGAACUAGAACAUAAGGCAUAUUGGGCUAUUAAAGAGCUCAACUAUGAUUUCAAACUUCCCGGUGAAAAGAGGUUAUUUGAUAUUAGCUCACUUGAUGAAUGGAGAACCCAAGCUUAUGAAAAUGCCAAGUUGUUUAAAGAAAAGGUUAAAAGAUGGCAUGACAAAAGGAUACAAAAGCGUGAGUUUAAUGUAGGUGAUUAUGUAUUGCUAUACAACUCUCAUUUAAGAUUUUUUGCAGGGAAACUUCUCUCUAAAUGGGAAGGCCCCUAUGUUAUCGAGGAGGUCUAUCGUUCCGGUGCCAUAAAAAUGAACAACUUCGAAGGCACAAAUCCAAAGGUGGUAAACGGUCAAAGAAUCAAACAUUAUAUCUCAGGUAAUCCCAUAAAUGUUGAAACCAAUAUUAUUGAAACCGUAACCCCGGAGGAAUACAUAAGGGACACUUUCCAGAACAUUUCAGACUCCAAAAAGGAAUAGGUAUGUGGUACAGUAAGUAAACCGACUCCAAAACAAUUUUUAAGGCAAUAUUUCUCCGUUUUGGAAUAUUUAGAAAAAUAGAAAAUUAAGUAGCAGUCCGGGAAGGACACGAGGGCCUCACGAGGGUGGAGGGCGCGCCCUACCCCCCUGGGCGUGCCCCCCUACCUCGUGAGCUCCUCGUGUGCCUUCCGGACUCUGUUUUCUUGCAUGAUACGUAUUUUGGUCGGUAAAAAUUCAUUAUAUAAUCUCCGGGGGGUUUUGACUCCCGUAUCACGCAAAAAUCUCUUGUAUUUGUUUUGAGCUGUUUUCUAUCAGGGUUUUCAAGGCCAGGCACUAUGUCUUCUCCCUCCUCCUCCAAUCAUGAGGGAAAUGAUGCUUGGCUAAUGAAGAUAGAGAUGAAGAGAGAAGAACCUAUGGAGAUCAAUAAGGAUGAAGGGAUCAAGAAGGCCGUGGAGGACCAAGUUCCAGCAAUAGAAGACACCCUUCAACUGGAUCAUAAUCUUCUUACCCCUACAGAAAUCGAAGCUUUCAAGAUGAUUGAGUUGGCUUGUAUACAAAAUAAGUAUCUCACACGUGAAAAUAUUUUGUUGAAGGAGCAUAUCAUCGCACUCAAGGGCAUUAUCCGCAAGUUAGAAGACCUUCUACGCUCGAUGUGCGACUAUCCAUCAUCAACAACACCUCUACCUUCUUCACCAACCAAGGAGAUAUAAUAACAUGGGUAUGGGCACUCCCCUUGGCAACAGCCAAGCUUGGGGGAGUGCCCCGGUAUCGUAUCACCCUCACCUUUAUCUUUACCAUUUUCCUUAGUUCGAUCCUAUUAGUAGUAUUUUGAUCUAGUAGAAUAAAGUUUAUGGCAUGAUCUAGUUGUGAGUUUUGCUUUAUUAUCCUUCUAUGUAAUCGAGUCUGUGAGCUAUAUAAUAAAGAUUAGUGCUGAGUCAAGGGCUUGAUUGUUUUUCCAUGAUCCUAAGUGAAUAAAAGAAAAGAGAAAGAAAUAAAAAGAAACAAAGAGAUCAUAUGAAUCUCAUGGAGAGUAAUGAGCUCACAUAGAAAAAGUAUGAUGAAUAAAAGUUGUUGAGAGUUGACAAGCAUAGUUUUGGUCAUCGUUGCAAUUAAUAGGAAGUAAUAAAGAAAGAGAGGUCUUCACAUAUAGAUAUACUAUCUUGGUCAUCUUUUAUGAUUGUGAGCACUCAUUAAAAUAUGACAUGCUAAAGAGUUGACAUUGGACAAGGAAGACAACGUAAUGGGUUAUGUUUUCUUACAUCUGAGAUAAAUUAUAUUAUCUUGGAUCUUCCAACAUGUUGAGCUUGCCUUUCCCCCUCAUGCUAGCCGAAUUCAUUGCACCAAGUAGAGAUACUACUUGUGCUUCCAAAUACCCUUAAACCAGUUUUGCCAUGAGAGUCCACCAUAUCUACCUAUGGAUUGAAUAAGAUCCUUCAAGUAAGUUGUCAUCGGUGCAAAGCAAUAAAAAUUGCUCUCUAAAUAUGUAUGAUUGAUUGGUGUGGGAGAAAUAAGCUUUAUACGAUCUUGUGAUGUAGAAGUAAUAAAAGCGACGGACUGCAUAAUAAAGGUUCAUAUCACAAGGGGCAAUAUAAAGUGACGUUCUUUCGCAUUAAGAUUUUGUGCAUCCAACCAUAAAAGCGCAUGGCAACCUCUGCUUCCCUCUGCGAAGGGCCUAUCUUUUAUCAUUAUCUUCUACCUUAUGCAAGAGUCAUGGUGAUUUUCACCCUUCCUUUUUACACUUUAUCCUUUGGCAAGCACAGUAUGUUGGAAAGAUCCUAGUAUAUAUGGCUAAUUGGAUGUGAGUUUUCAUGAACUAUUACUGUUGAUAUUACCCUUGAGGUAAAAUGUUGGGAGGCAAUACUAUAAGCCCCUAUCUUUCUCUGUGUCUGAUUAAAACUCCACACCCAUAAGUAUUGCGUGAGUGUCAGCAAUUGUGAAAGAUUAUAUGAUAGUUGAGUAUGUGGACUUGCUGAAAAGCUCUUAUACAUUGACUCUUUCCUAUGUUAUGAUAAAUUGCAAUUGCUUCAAUGACCGAGAUUGUAGUUUGUUAGUUUUCAAUGAAGUUUACGAUUCAUACUUGAUAUUGUGAUUGAAUUAUUACUCUAGCAUUAGAGAUCAUAUGACAAAAAUUAUAUAAGUUGUUGUUAUAAGAAUGAUCAUGAUGCCCUCAUGUCCGUAUUUUAUUUUUAUCGACACCUUCAUCUCUAAACAUGUGGACAUAUUUUUCGAUUUCGGCUUUUCGCUUGAGGACAAGCGAGGUCUAAGCUUGGGGGAGUUGAUACGUCCAUUUUGCAUCAUGCUUUUAUAUCAAUAUUUAUUGCAUUAUGGGUUGUUAUUUCACAUUAUGUCACAAUACUUAUGGCUAUUCUCUCUUAUUUUACAAGGUUUACAUAAGGAGGGAGAAUGCCGGCAGUUGGAAUUCUGGGCUGGAAAAUGAGCAAAUAUUAGAGACCUAUUCUGCACAACUCCAAAAGUCCUAAAACUCCACGGAACACCUUAUAAUAAAUAAUAAAAAAUCCUCGCCAAAGAUGAAGACCAGGGGGCCCACACCCUUCUCACGAGGGUGCCCCCCUAGGGCGCGCCCCCUGCCUCGUGGGCCCCCUGGUGGCUCUCCGAUGACCAUCUUCUCCUAUAUGAAGUCUUUCGUCGAGAAAAAAAUAAAAAAACAACCUUUCGAGACGAAACUCCGCCGCCAAGAGGCGGAACCUUGGCGGAUCCAAUCUAGAGCUCCGGCAGAGCUGUUCUGCCGGGGAAAUUUCCCUCUCGGAGGGGGAAAUCAUCGCCAUCAUCAUCACCAACGCUCCUCUCAUCGGGAGAGGGCAAUCUCCAUCAACAUCUUCAUCAGCACCAUCUCAUCUCAAAACCCUAGUUCAUCUCUUGUAUCCAAUUCUUGUCUCCAAGUCCGGGAUUGGUGCUAGUAGGUUGCUAGUAGUGUUAAUUACUCCUUGUAGUUGAUGCUAGUUGGUUUAAUUGGUGGAAGAUCAUAUGUUCAGAUCCUUUAUGCAUAUUAAUACCCCUCUGAUUAUGAACAUGUUUAUGCUUUGUGAGUAGUUACGUUUGUUCCUGAGGACAAGGGAGAAGUCUUACUAUUAGUAGUCAUGUGAAUUUGGUAUUCGUUCGAUAUUUUGAUGAGAUGUAUGUUGUCUAGCCUCUAGUGGUGUUAUGUGAACGUCGACUACAUAACACUUCACCAUUAUUUGGGCCUAGAGGAAGGCAUUGGGAAGUAAUAAGUAAAUGAUGGGUUGCUAGAGUGACAGAAGCUUAAACCCUAGUUUAUGUGUUGCUUCGUAAGGGGCUGAUUUGGAUCCAUAUGUUUCAUGCUAUGGUUAGGUUUACCUUAAUACUUUUGUUGUAGUUGCGGAUGCUUGCAAUAGAGGUUAAUCAUAAGUGGGAUGCUUGUUCAAGUAAGAACAGCACCCAAGCACCGGUCCACCCACAUAUCAAAUUAUCAAAGUACCGAACACGAAUCAUAUGAACGUGAUGAAAACUAGCUUGACGAUAUUCCCAUGUGUCCUCGGGAGCGUUUUUCCUUAUAUAAGAGUUUGUCCAGGCUUGUCCUUUGCUACCAAAAGGAUUGGGCCACCUUGCUGCACUUUAUUUACUUUUGUUACUUGUUGCUCAUUACAAAUUAUCUCAUCACAAAACUAUCAGUUACCACUUAUUUCAGUACUUGCAGAGAAUACCUUGCUGAAAAUCAUUUAUCAUUUCCUUCUGCUCCUCAUUGGGUUCGACACUCUUACUUAUCGAAAGGACUACGAUAGAUCCCUUAUACUUGUGGGUCAUCACUCUUUUGGAAAGACGUCUCGAUAUUCACAAACGACUGGAAUCUGAGAAAUGGCGUCCAACUCGCCCUUCUCAUUGAGAGGAAACAGUCGAAUGGUAUCAUCACGAGCGGCAAAGACGAUCACAUCCUCAGACGAGUGUGUCAAUUGAAUCUGCCUGGCAGCACAAUCAAGCUGAGCCUUGUGCUUAGAAAGCCAGUCCAUGCCGAGAAUUAGAUCAAUAUCCGAGUUACCAAGGACCAUUGGAGAAGACAGAAACUUAUAGUCGCCCAACGUGAUAGAAACAUCUGGAACCACCAAACUGCCACUCAACCGUUUACCCGGAGAAAUGAUAUCCAUUGAUUGCCCAAAUGAGAAGAAGUGAAUUUGUUCUUGGCAAAAAAUGUUUUGACAUGAAACAAUGCGAUGCACCAGUGUCAAAAAGAACUUUUGCGGGAAUAUCGUUAACAAGAAGGUUACCCAUGAUCACUUCUGAAGAGUCCUCUGCCUGAGCUGCGUUCAUCAUGUUGACCUUGGCAUGCUUGGGAUUAUGCUUGACCACUGCAUUGCUAGCAGAUCUCACAGGAGGAGGAGGCGGAAGACACCUCUGGUUGAAGCAUUUGUUUGCAUAGUGACCCUUCUGCUGACACUUGUUGCACGUGACCUCUGAGAGCGGACGGUGAUACGGAGCACUUGAUCUUGGAGCAUGAGACGAAGCCUUGUUCUGAAAGCCUGGGUUGGGUGGGUGGGAAGAUCCAUUGCCACCUUUGCUCUUCUGCUCAUAAGGCUGACGGAACGGAGGAGGAGGAGGCAACCAAUACUUUUGCUGCUUAGCUUCCACUUGAGUAGAAGAAGAAGGAGUUGCAUCCCUAACUCUCUUCUUGGAAGCAUCACACUUGAGCUGAGCAGUCUCUUGCUUUAGUGCCAUAUUGUAGAACUCAUCGUACUUUUUCGGCUCAAAAAGCACGAGGGCUAGUUGCAGAUCUUCUCUGAGGCCACCUCUGAACUGAUAAAUCAUGCUCUUCUCGUCAGGGACGUCUUGCUUGGUGAAGCGAGCGAGCUUCUGGAACAUGAUGUUGUAUUGGUAAACAGACAAGUUGCCUUGCUUCAGAUUGCGGAACUCCUCAUGCUUGCUCUCAACAACACUAUGAGGAAUGUGGUGAGCUCUCAAGUCUUGGCGGAAUUCAUCCCAGGUAAUCACACGACCUCCUCUGGAAUCUUUGUAUUGCUGAUACCAGUCUGCAGCUUGGUCUUUGAGUUGGAACAAAGCAAACUUGACAAAGUCCUCAGGCCUGACGUUGCUGCACUCGAAAUAUUUGCAGAUAUCCACGAGCCAAUCAUCAGCGUCUGUGGCCUCGACACUGUUACUGAAGGUCUUCGGUUGGUUUGCGAGGAACUAGUUGAGUGUAGCAAACUAAUUUUGAUUGUUGCCAUUGCCUUGACUUCCUUGGUUGCGCUCUUGCAAGAGUUGCAUAAUCAGCUGUGUGUUGGCGUUGGUAGCGGCCAUUAUAGAUUGCCAUGCCUCCGAAGGUGGAGGUGGUGGCGGAGGUUCUGGAUUCUGACGCGUUGGAGGAGCCAUCAUGAAGAGGGUGACAUCCGUUAGCAUCUUGAAAGACAUAUAUUCAAGCUGAAUCAAAUGGAUCGAAAUUGCAACAUAUAGCCUUAACAUUCGAACAAGAAUGAACGAAUGAAUUCCAAAUUAAAUGAUCACACUUCCAUAAAUUGAGAAGCCACUUAGAUAGAGGUAGAUGAAUAAAACAACAAGGUACGGACAAGAACAAAUACUUGGUAAGGAUUACCCAAUCAUGAACCAAAUAUCUGUGGAAGAAAUACUAGAGCUACAUGAAUUCCCACCUAUGAAACUCCCGAAAUUUUCCGAUUAUGCAAUCAGGUGUUGGGGAUACAGGGGAAGCAUAAUAUCUCACCCAAAACUAGCAAAUCCUACAUCCAGCUGUAUCCAUCCUUCAACACAUAACCAAGAAACCUUUGGAAAUCAUUUACCUCAACCUUCGAAAAGCAUCUGUUAUACGAGUUAUGGCAAUAUUCCCGAACUCCCGCCCUAGUACUGGAUAGCGUCGAGGUUAUCUCACCAACAACUGCAUAAAAGAGAUUUUCGAUGUCGGUGAAACUCAGGUAUUCCAGAACUGCAACGAUAAAAUUGUGACGACAACACCUCGGAGCUCAACUCCCCGGGACACUGCCACAACCCCUAAAUGUCAGGAGGCACAAAGAACAAUGUUCUCGUCACAAAACCAUCGGAACGGUUCCAAGAUACCCGCGUGAUCCUAAAAAAAUUAGUGAAAUUUGAGAAGAGAAGAGUCAAAACUCUAGGUCAGGAUGCCUCACCAGAGCGACGAAGGGACUGAGGAGUAAAAAGAAUCCUACUCUCCGAUAUAUAUAAUCCUAAAAGACUCAAAACAUUUUUCUAGACUCAACAACGCCAGAUAUUCGAUCAAGCAGGGGGCUCCUAAGUCGGGGAAGGCUCUGAUUACCAACUUGUAACACCCACGAUGCGGCUAUAUCUCCCACGUGUCGGAGCACGACUUAGAGGUAUAACCGCAUUGUAGGCAAUGUCGCAAGAGGGGUAAUCUUUACACAUCCCAUGUACUGCAUAAGAAAGAGGUACAUAGUUAGCUUACAAUCGCCACUUCACACAAUAACAUAAAUAUAGCAUUACAAUCAUCCAUAUACAAUCAAGGUCCGACUACGGAACCAAAAUAAAGACAACCCCAAAUGCAUAAGAUCCCCGAUCGCCCCAACUAGGCUCCACUACUGAUCGUCUGGAAAGGAAACAUAGUAUCGUCCUGAGUCCUCAUCGAACUCCCACUUGAGCUCAGUAGCAUCCCCUGGAACGGUAUCAUCGGCACAUGCAUCUGGUUUUGGAAGUAAUCUAUGAGUCACGGGGACUCAGCAAUCUCACACCCUCACGAUCAAGACUAUUUAAGCUUAUGGGUAGGCAAAAGGUAUGAGGUGGAGCUGCAGCAAGCACUAGCAUAUAUGGUGGCUAACAUACGCAAAUGAGAGCAAGAAGAGAAGGCAAAGCACUUUCGAGAAUCUAUGAUCAAGAAGUGAUCCUAGACUACUUACGUUCAAGCAUAACACGAGACCGUGUUCUCUUCCCGGACUCCGCCGAAAAGAGACCAUCACGGCUACUCACUCGGUUGAUCCAAUUUAAUUAAGUUAAGUUUCAGGUUUUCUACAAGCAGACAUUAACAAAUUCCCAUGUACCCAUAACCGCGGGCACGGCUUUCGAAAGUUCAAAUCCCUACAAGGGUGUCCCAACUUAGCCCAUCACAAGCUCUCACGGUCAACGAAGGAUAUUCCUUCUCCUAGGAUGACCGGGUCAAACUCGGAAUCCCGGUUACAAGACAUCUCGACAAUGGUAAAACUAAACCAGCAAAGUCGCACGAUGUGCCGACAAAUCCCGAUAGGAGUCGCACAUAUCUCGUUCUCAGGGCACACCGGAUAGGUCAAGCUACGAGUAAAACCAACCCUCGAGUUGCCUCGAGGUGGCCCCGCAGGCUGCCCGUUUCAGACCAACACUCAGAGGAGCACUGGCCUGGGGGGGGGGUUUAAAAUAAAGAUGACCCUUGAGUCCGCAUAACCCAAGGGAAAAAGGCUAGGUGGCAAAUGGUAAAACCAAGGUUGGGCCUUGUUGGAGGAGUUUUAUUCAAGGCGAAUUGUCAAGGGGUUCCCAUUAUAACCCAACCGCGUAAGGAACACAAAAUCAAGGAAUAUAACACCGGUAUGACGGAAACUAGGGCGGCAAGAGUGGAACAAAACACCAGGCAUAAGGCCGAGACUUCCACCCUUUACCAAGUAUAUAGGUGCAUUAAAUUAAACAAGAUAUAAUAGUGAUAUCCCAACAAUAAACAUGUACCAACAAGGAACAAACUCCAAUCUUCACCUGCAACUAACAACACUAUAAGAGGGGCUGAGCAAAGCGGUAACAUAGCCAAACAACGGUUUGCUAGGACAAGGUGGGUUAGAGGUUUGACAUGGCAAUAUGGGAGGCAUGAUAAAGCAUGUGGUAGGUAUCAAGGCAUAGGCAUAGCAAUAGAGAGAGCAUCUAGCAAGCAAAGAUAGAAGUGAUUUCGAGGGUAUGGUCACCUUGCCUGCAAAGUUCUCCGAGUUGGCGUAAGCUUGAUCCUCGUAAGUGAACUCAACGGGUUCCUCGAUCACGUGCUCGUCUCCCGGCUCUACCCAAAGCAAGAACACAAGCAAAGGGAGACACAAUCAACUAGGGUGCAAUGCGCAAGCAACAUGAUGCAAAACAUGGCAUGAUAUGCGGUAUGUGAUAUGCAAUGCAUAUGCAUGCUCCGGAAGGAAAAGAUUGAACCAGGCCUCAACUUGGAAAACCAAGAGUGCCGCCGGAAAGAUGAGUUGAUUUUGGUCAAAAUCGAUAUAAAGAUCACCGGAAUCGGAUGCACGGUUUGCAAAUGGCAAGCAAAACAAUAAUGGCACCAAUCUGCAAUUAACAGCGCGAUGCCAUCUAAAUGCAUCAAGAAAAAUAAGCUACUGCACUCUAACAUAGCAACAAAUCACAUGGCAGUGAUCCACUCAAGAUGCUUGACAAAAGAUGAACACUGAGCUACGGCUAAAUCACACAAUAGCAGGUUCAAACAAGCAUGGCAAAAGUGCAAAAGAUAUCAGGUUCACAGACUUAGUGAAAAUAACAUGUCAGGAUUUAACAUUAGGAAGCAAUGAUUAGAGCAAGAUAACAACAUGCUAUAGGAACAUAUCAUGGCAAAGAAGGCAUGGCAUGUAACUAAUCAAAGCAUAUAACAGAAGUUCCUUACUGACCAUAAGCCAAAAGGGAUCAGACAAUACAAUGGCAACCAUGUAAACAUAGCAAGUUUUGUUAACAGAUUCAGACUUAGCAAAAAACUGGACAUGGCAAAAACAGAGUUACGUAGGCAUGUUUGCGAGCUCGAUGCACUCACCAUAAGGAAUUGCCUGACAAACUAAGCAUACACCCAGCAAGAAGACAUGAUCAAUAAGCUAACCAUGAUAAGAACAUUCUCAUAGCAUGCAUGGAUCAACUACAACAGCCUCGGCAAAAUUGAUUAACAUGUAAACAAUCUGCCAGGAACAUUUUAUAGCAAAAGUAGAGCAAGAUUGAGUCAUGCUAGGGUACUCCAUAAUUGCAAACAAAGACAUGGAUGGAUAGAGCAUAACAAUAUCUCAAAAUAAUCCUUACUGAACAUGCUCAAAAGAGGCAUGGGUCACUCUGUAGCAACAAGAAUACAUGGCAUAAAAAUAACAUCAGGGAAAUGACUUAGAAGAAUUCUAAGUCCCUGAAAUCAGCAACAUCACGAGAGCUACUUUGCAUGCUUGUGCUAGUCACCAUAUUGAUCACAAAAAUACAUGGCAUACACCCCUGUAAAGAUGGCAUGGCAUAGCCCAAAACACAUGUAGGGCUCAAGUUCAUAGGAGGCACACAUUAAUCAUGGCAAAAAUGUCAAAUGUCCAGAAUCUGUUAAGAAUCAGAACCUAACAUUACAUAGCACUCUUGCAACAUCAUUUAGGGCAUCAAGAUGAACUCAAAUGAACAUGGUGCAAUGGAAUGAAAUGAAGUGCACAUCCAGACGAACAAUUUGAUAUGCUACACGCCCAAAACGGAGCUACGGAUGCAAAGAUAUGACAUGAUGAAGAUAGCUAAAAAUGUUAGGGACUUAGGGGGAAAACGAGGUCAACCCCUAGGGUUUCACUAUAGCAGAUCUGGAUCGGGGCACGCUUCCCGAGGUUCGUCGGGACCUCGCCGGCGAUGAAGGCAGGACGGUGGCCGGAGUUGGAUGGAGGAGGCCGGAGCUUGAAGAGAAGGACAGGGGCGGCGCGGAUCCGAUCGUCGGGGCACGAUGCGGGCGACGAGGCGCGACUGCGGGCGCCCGGUGGCGACGAGCGGCGAUGGCGGGGCGNNNNNNNNNNNNNNNNNNNNNNNNNNNNNNNNNNNNNNNNNNNNNNNNNNNNNNNNNNNNNNNNNNNNNNNNNNNNNNNNNNNNNNNNNNNNNNNNNNNNNNNNNNNNNNNNNNNNNNNNNNNNNNNNNNNNNNNNNNNNNNNNNNNNNNNNNNNNNNNNNNNNNNNNNNNNNNNNNNNNNNNNNNNNNNNNNNNNNNNNNNNNNNNNNNNNNNNNNNNNNNNNNNNNNNNNNNNNNNNNNNNNNNNNNNNNNNNNNNNNNNNNNNNNNNNNNNNNNNNNNNNNNNNNNNNNNNNNNNNNNNNNNNNNNNNNNNNNNNNNNNNNNNNNNNNNNNNNNNNNNNNNNNNNNNNNNNNNNNNNNNNNNNNNNNNNNNNNNNNNNNNNNNNNNNNNNNNNNNNNNNNNNNNNNNNNNNNNNNNNNNNNNNNNNNNNNNNNNNNNNNNNNNNNNNNNNNNNNNNNNNNNNGGCCGGCGCGGAGGCGCGGUGAGGCUCAGGCGGCGGAGGAGGCGAGUUGGGCAACGGGGUCCCGCGCGGGGCGGCUGCGGCGCUUCGGGCCGGUUGGGCCUCCUGCGGGCCCUACGGGCCGACGAAGUGGGUGCGGCGGCGAGCGAACCCGGAGCUAACACGUGGCGGCGGCGGGCGGCGGGAUUUUUGUCCGGCGGCGUGGAGGGGAGAGGAAGCUAGGGUUUCAACCGGAUUUUUGGGGAGGGUUGCACAUAUUUAUAGGUAGAGGGAGUUUGGAGUGUCCAAAUGAGGUGCGGUUUUCGGCCACGCUGUUGGGGAUAUUACUACUGGGCAUAAAUCGGCCCACCUGGGCCGGAUUAACUCCAUCAAUAGUUCAAAGGUGUUAAAGCCCAAAGAGGCAGAUAAAGGCCCAGGGCCCGUAGUCGGUUUACAACCUGUAGCCGUACAUCAGCUUUGUGCAUAUACUUGUAAUAUAAGUUAGGAACAAGGAGAGACCAACCCGGAUACGAGUAUGAACCGGUGUGGGGACUCUCUGAAUCGGAAGGCGUCACCCAUGUAUAUAAGGGGACGACCCGACGGCGGUUAAAGGACAGACAACAACUCGAGACAUAGGCGAAGCUUGUUUGCUCCCUAGUCAUCGAAACCCCAUCAAUUCCAUCACAACUAGACGUAGGCUUUACCUUCCUCGAAGGGGCCGAACUAGUAUAAACUCUCUUGCGUCCUUGUGUCCGCUUUAACCCCUUCAAGCUAACCCGUCGCGAUGGCUCCAUGACUAAGUCCUUUCUCUAGGACAUCUGCCGUGACAAAACCACGACAGUUGGCACCCACCGUGGGGCUAUCGCAUGAUGGUUUCCGGUUCUUGGAGGGCCGCUUUGAAGGACUCGAGGGCUAUGCUGUAGGCCGGAUGACUAAGAGUCGUCGCGGCAGGCUCUACAUCGACGAUGCAGGCUGGGGCCCUGAGGCCGGCUCAGUUGAGUGCAGGUACCGGGUCCCCUUUGGUAGCAUUCACGUUUUCAUUGGUAAGAUCGGUGAACCGGGCCCUGAGCCGGACAUCUGCACCGACCUCAUCGAGACGGCUCAGCGUGCGCAAUCCGCCCGGGUUAAACCGGCCAUGAAGCGUGCCUUCGUGGGAGUCAUCCAUGGAGGAAGUCAUGAGGACGGAUCGGGAUUUCGCGGGGCGACUGUCAUUUGUUCCGGUGACGAAUCUUCGAUCACAGAAAUCGAAUCUCUUUAUCAGCUACAAGAUGGCCGGAUUGGGAGCUGUUCCGAUGGCGACAGUAUUCCGGACCCCUCUGAUCUGCCCAACCGGGUUGGAAUAUUCAUGGUCGGAACACAAGCAGCACUUCAUUCUUCGACAGCUGCGGCAACGAUUUCUGGUUCAGCAGCAGCAACGGCCGUCGGGGCAGGAGGCCCUGUGCGCCCGCCGGCUCAGGUUCUAUCAGAGCUAUUUGAUGUGUUGGAUGUGCUUAUGGCGGAAGCAAAUCCGCCAGAUCAGGACGUUCACAACACGAAGAUUGCAAAGGUAAGGGAACAGAUCACCCAGACCAAGGCGGAUCUGGCGGCUGAGGACACCAGGAUGGCCGCAGAGCGGGCUGCUUUAGACGCACAGGCCGGCAGGCUUAUGUUAGACCAGAGCACAUCACAUGAAUUCAUGAGAAGGAAGCACCGAUCUCGCUUACCUCCGGUUUUCGAGGCCAGAGACCUUUUCAACACUCCAGGACCAAGAGCCAGUAAUCCGCUGGAGGGGAACCGGGCAGAAGCCCCUGGGACCGGUGCACCGGUUCAGCCCCGGCAGAUGGACCCGCCUCGUCAAAACACCGUUAUACCUCAGGAUGCUUUAACACCUCCGGGUCACUACUCCAACCCAAUGGACAAUAUUGUUGCCGCUGCUGCACGACUGGAGGCCAUUCCAGUUGAAGGUGACUCGCCGCAAGCAGUAGAGACGCGACGGAUCAAGGAACUUCUGAGGACAGCUUUGGACCAACAGGAGGCGUACUCGUACAGCCACGACCGAGUCCACUCGACCCCCCGUCCAAGCCGGAGCUAUAGCAGACAUAUGGAUGAACCAGCAGUGUCGAGUAAUGAACGACGUGGAGCACCCCGUGGUAACAACCCGACGGGUGGUGCUGAUGACGCUCAGGAAGUGGUGAACCGGGCCCGAGCGCGUAGGGAGGCCGAGUUAGCCGCACAACAUCAGGCUCGGCAGCUCACGCCGGUUCGUCCAACCAUUUCGAUCGAACCUGGUGUUACUUCUAGUUCUUUGGGGGUGCCUUGCCUCGUCCCCGCUUUAUGCAACGUGCGUUUGCCCAAGGAUUUCAAGGGCCCACGCAAGGUACCAAAUUAUACGGCGGAUCAACCACCAGAGACAUGGGUAGAGAGCUAUGAGAUGGCCAUGGAGAUGCUUGAUGUGGAUGACAUAGCAUGUGCGAAAUACUUCACCAUGAUGCUUGAAGGAACGGCCCGUACUUGGUUAAAAAGCUUGCCCGCUAAUUCUAUCAGUUCAUGGGCCCAAUUACGAGCCCGGUUUAUCAACAAUUUCAAGGAUACCUGUAAACAGCCUAUGUCGAUAGUGGACUUAGCUGCAUGCGUCCAGGAGGAAGGAGAGUCAACGACUCAUUGGGUGCGCCGGGUUUCACAAGUGUUGCACUCCUCAGACCGCAUCAACGCUGACACCGCAGUAUUAACCCUAGAAGGCAACUGCCGGUUUGGGCCCCUGAAGUUGAAAUUGGGACGGAUGAAGCGUCAUUGCACCGACAUGGGGACCCUCAUGGCCGCUUUGGUAAAAUAUGUUGAUUCUGAUAGUACCAAGGAUCCCGAAUCUGAUGAGGACAAGACAGGAAAGGGUAAGAAGAACAGCAGCUCCAAAGGUCAGCAGCAUCCCUGGGUAGGCAAUGGCGGAGGAGUCAAGCGUAAAGCGGACGGUAACAUGGAUUUUGUGGCUAAUACCAACGUACAGGACAAUGGCCAACGGCGCAAGGGUAGGCCGAAAAAUCGUAGUGGAGCGCCCAACCCCAACCCAAACUGCCUGAACUAUCUGCUAAGCCAGCCCUGUCCAAGACAUGGGACGAAGGAGGAGCCAGCAAACCACCUUUGGAAGGAUUGCUUUAUUAUGCAGGAGUUCAAGAAUUCUAAUAAUUUCCGGUAUGAUCACGGAUCUGGCGGUGGCUCAGGGUCCGGGCCGGGUUACGGUGGAGGAAGUUCCGGUUCAGGAUUUAAUGGUAAUCCGGGCGGACAUAAUGGUCAAAAUAGUCAGAACAACCAGGGUGGUUACAACCAACAGCAGCAACAGUCAGGUUACCAAAGCAACCCAAAGCAGUUGAGUAAUGGGCAGUACCAUGUAUUUACCACUAGCUUGGACAAGCGAGACCGAAAGGUUCAGAGGCGGGCAGUCAACUCUGUUGAAUCGGCCACACCCCGUUAUCUACGUUGGUCUGAACAGCCAAUCAUAUGGAGCAGAGAGGAUCACCCACUCCAGGUCGAUAAUCCAGGUCAGUUGGCUCUGGUGGUGGCGCCUCAGGUGGGAGGUUAUAAGUUCACCAAGGUGCUCAUGGAUAGAGGGAGCAGCAUUAACAUCCUAUACUAUGAGACCUUCCGUCGUAUGGGACUUACAGAUAAGAAUCUCAAACCGUCCAAUACAGUAUUCCACGGUGUAGUGCCUGGCAGAUCAUCCUAUCUCGUUGGUAAGAUAGCUCUUGAAGUGGCCUUUGGGGAUGAUCAUGAUUCCAGGUCGGAGACAUUAACGUUUGAAGUGGUGAAAAUCCAAAGUCCAUAUCAUGCCCUGUUUGGGCGUCCGGCAUACGCCAAGUUUAUGGCUCGGCCCUGUUAUGUGUAUUUGCAUCUCAAGAUACCGGGUCACAAGGGGACAAUAACGAUUCACGAAAGCCGCAAAAUCGCUUUGGAAUGCGAGGAAGGAGAUGCGGCUUAUGCAGAGUCGGUUUGUGCCACCGAGGAGUUGAAGUACUAUAAAGACAAUGUUGAUCCGGCGGACAUGACUCCGUUGAAGAAGCCAACUAUGGAGCAUGAUCUGGCCCUGAAGUUCAAAUCAGCAGCAGAAACUAAGCUUGUUGACUUCAUACCUGGCGAUUCGUCCAAGCAGUUCAGCAUUAGUGCCAACUUGGAUCCGAAAUAGGAAAGCGCGCUCAUCGAGUUCAUCCGUGAGAAUCGGGACAUUUUUGCAUGGAAGCCCUCUGACAUGCCAGGUGUACCAAGGCAACUCGCUGAGCACACACUUAAUGUGGAUCCUAAAUACAAACCGGUGAAAUAGUUCCUCCGCCGGUUUAAUGAAGAAAGACGCAAGGCGAUUGGAGAAGAGGUAGCCAGGCUCUUAGCAGCUGGUUUUAUUGUUGAAGUUUUUCACCCUGAGUGGCUUGCCAAUCCGGUGCUAGUCCUUAAGAAAAACAGCACCUGGCGUAUGUGUGUGGAUUACACAGAUCUUAAUAAAGCUUGUCCAGCAGAUCCUUUUGCCCUCCCCCGUAUUGAUCAAAUCAUUGAUGCUACGGCGGGUUGUGAGCAUUUAAGUUUUUUGGAUGCAUAUUCUGGCUAUCAUCAGAUCAAAAUGGCAGUUAAGGACCAGGAGAAGACGGCAUUCAUAACUCCCUUUGGAGCCUCUGCUAUGUGUCUAUGCCCUUUGGGCUCAAAAGUGCCCAGGCAACUUAUAAACGGUGUGUACAAAACUGUCUUCACAAGCAGAUUGGCCGUAAUGUACAUGCUUACGUGGAUGAUAUCGUGGUUAAAUCCAGGGAGAAGGAGACUCUGGUUGAUGAUUUGAAGGAAACCUUUGAUAACCUAAGGACGUACAAGAUGAUGCUUAAUUCGGACAAGUGUGUCUUUGGUGUACCGGCGGGCAAGUUAUUGGGUUUUCUGGUGUCCAACAGGGGAAUUGAGGCUAAUCCGGAGAAGAUCACAGCCAUCACCUCCCUGGCUAAACCAAAGUGUAUCAAUGAUGUUCAACGCUUGGCAGGCCGGAUUGCCGCGUUAAGCCGGUUUAUCAGUCGCCUUGGUGAGAAGGCGAUCCCUUUGUAUCAGAUGUUGAAGAAGACGGAUCAGUUCGUCUGGAGUUCUGCAGCUGAUGAAGCAUUUGAGGACUUAAAGCGGCAAUUGGCCAAUCCGCCUGUGCUCGCCGCUCCCAUUGACAAGGAGCCGUUACUGCUAUAUGUUGCUGCUAAUGCUCGUGCGGUCAACGUGGCUAUUAUGGUGGAAUGAAAGGAGGCAGGUAAGGAGCAUCUGGUUCAACGUCCGGUCUAUUAUAUCAGCGAGGUACUCAUUGAGUCCAAGCAAAGGUAUCCGCAUUGGCAGAAGCUGGUGUACGGAGUUUUUAUGGCAAGCCGGAAGCUUAAACAAUACUUCCAAGGGCACCCAAUUACGGUGGUCAGUUCUGCUCCUUUGGGAGAUAUCAUCCAGAACCGGGAAGCAACUGGCCGGAUUGCAAGGUGGGCUAUAGAGCUGGGGCCAUACGGUUUGAAAUAUGUGCCUCGGACAGCGAUUAAGUCUCAAGCACUUGUUGAUUUCAUCAAUGAUUGGACGGAAGUGCAAGCACCUGAAGAAAAUCCGGAUCAUACGUAUUGGACCAUCCAUUUUGACGGAUCCAGGCAGUUAGAAGGCUCGGGGGCUGGAGUCAUAUUAACUUCCCCACGAGGUGAUAAGUUUUGUUAUGUUCUCCGUUUAAUGUUCCCUUGUACUAACAAUGCAGCUGAGUAUGAAGCCUUGCUCCACGGUCUUCGGAUGGCUAAGGAGAUGAAUCUAAGUCGAGUUAAGUGCUUCGGUGAUUCGGACCUUGUGCUUAGCAAGUGUCUGGCACUUGGGACUCCAAGGACCCACUCAUGGCAGCAUAUCGUCGUGAGGUGGAUAUUGUUGCAGGUUAUUUCAGAGGCUAUCAGGUGGACCACGUGGACCGGCGGAAAAAUGAAGCGGCGGACGCUUUAAGCCGGCUGGGCUCUCAGCGCAAACCGGUCCCACCCAAUGUUUUUCUGGAUGCGCUGCACAACCCGUCGGUGAAGAUCCCUGGUGAAGAGGAUUUGGCCAUUCCUGAUCCGGAGGCUCAAUUGGUGGCAGUUCUUCAUGUUAUUCUGGAUUGGACGCUUCCUUAUCUGGCGUACAAGAACCAGGGCGAGUUGCCAGAAGAUGAGAUUCUGGCCCGGCAGAUAAUCCGGCGAUCCAAGUCCAUGGCUGUCAUCAACGGUGAGUUGCAUCAUUGCAGUGUAUCAGGAGCUUUUCAACGUUGCAUGUCUCCUGAAGAAGGUCGUGAAAUUUUGAGGGAGAUCCACGAAGGAGAUUGUGGUCACCACGCCGGUUCAAAGUCUCUGGUGGCUAAAGCAUUUCGCCAUGGUUUCUAUUGGUUAACUGCUCAUGCUGAUGCGAAGGAUCUGGUCAGACAAUGUGAUGGUUGCCAAAGGUUUUCAAGACGUGCUCAUGUACCGGCUCAAGAAUUGAGGAUGAUUCCAAUUACUUGGCCGUUUGCGACUUGGGGCUGGAUAUGGUUGGGCCUUUCAAAAGGUCCAAAGAUAAGAAGACCCACCUCCUGGUGGCGGUGGACAAGUUUACAAAGUGGGUGGAGGCAGAACCUGUUAGCAAGUGUGAUGCGGCCACGGCGGUUCAGUUCAUCAAAAAGGUGAUUUUCCGGUUUGGCUUUCCGCACAGUAUUAUCACAGAUAAUGGUACCAAUUUAUCCAAAGGUGCUAUGAAGGAGUUCUGCGAACGGGAGCACAUCCGGCUCGAUGUUUCAUCAGUGGCACAUCCACAGUCCAAUGGUCAAGCAUAAAGAGCUAAUCAAGAGAUCUUGAGAGGCAUCAAGCCCCGGCUCAUGGUUCCUUUGCAGAGAACGCCGGGCUGUUGGGUAGAAGAAUUACCAUCUGUGUUAUGGAGCAUCAAUACAACAUCCAACAGAUCAACAGGAUACACACCGUUCUUCAUGGUUUAUGGAGCGGAGGCGGUUCUCCCCAGCGAUAUCCGUCAUGACUCACCUCGUGUCACGGCUUAUGUUGAAGCGGACAACGAGACAGCACGGCAAGAUGCUUUGGACCGGUUGGAUGAAGAGCGUGACAUCGCAGCCGCCCGGUCGGCGAUUUACCAGCAGGAUCUUCGUCGUUAUCACAGUUGCCGAGUCAGAACCAGAGCCUUCCAGGAAGGAGAUUUGGUGCUUCGGCUCAUCCAAGAUCAGACUGAUAUGCAUAAGCUAUCCCCACCUUGGGAGGGGCCUUUCGUGGUCAGCAAGAAUCUGCACAAUGGGUCGUACUAUUUGAUCGAUAUUCAAGAGCAUAAGGACUCGCGUACAUUAGAGGAAGAGACUAACAGGCCGUGGAAUAUAGCUCAUCUUCGGCCUUACUAUACCUGAGCCAUUGGCUAUACUUAUGUACAUACAAUGUAUAUAUUAUGAUUAAGUAUAAUAAACCGGAACCUCAGCUAAAGCGGGGUAUCUGUUCUUUUACAUCAUGUGAGGUUACACGGAGUUGCUCUAAAACGGCCUCCGGUUUACCCCUUGAGUUCGCUUUGCUAAAAGCAUCGUGUUAUAUCACUUGGAGGAUUGGUCGUGUCCGAACCAAUACCAUGCCUCUUGAUAGGCGAAAGCCACCAGAUCACUUGGGGACUUGGUCAUGUCUGAACCAGCCAUGCCUCUUGAUCGGCCUAAGGCCAUAGAAUAACUUGGGGGCUUGGUCGAACCCGAACCAUGACCACGCCAUUUGGUCGGCAUAAAUGCCACAAGAAUCACUUGGGGACCUGGCUAACUAGAACCAUAGUUACACCUAACGGGAGCUUGGUCGUGUUUGGCCAUGGUUACGCCAUUUGAUCAGCUUAAAUAAAUCUUUUUUGGCAAACGUUUUUGUCGUUGCUUUUGCUUCAUACUUUUCUUUGAAGGGGGUUUUUUGCUUUUUAUUGUGUUCUUUAAACCGACAAAGUUUUUUUUAACCAAUCAAUUGGCGGAACACAGUUCACGUCAAUCCGGAGACUAUUUGUCCAGUUUGAUCCUUGUUGUUAACAUCCUCUUAUGGAGUAACAUGGUGUUUAUCAUAACCCGGCACGGUUUACAUGGUAAACCAGCGUCAUAUAGAUAUACAGGAGCUGUUAUCUCCUCCAAACAGUAUGGGUUUGCAAAACUCCGCUUCAAGAUUGGCCAAGCCAACUUCACGCUCAAUGACGGGAGGUAUUAUGUAUAUCAAAAUUUGGUCAUACUUAAAAAAAAUUUGAUUUCAUAUAUGCAGACACCAUAAUCCGCCUAACGGUACAACCACGGUGGCACUUGACGAAUUUUUUAUUUCAGAAAGUGUUUUGGAAAGUUCAUUGCCACAGGAAGAACAAAUUAUGCACGAAGGCAUAUCAACAUCAAAGGUAUCAGCUAGCCUAUUACAAGGCAACAUGGUGCCCAUAAUAAUAUAAUUGUUUUUCGCGAAUAAGAGGCAGUUUUAAACCGGCGUCCGGUUCAAGCUUGGUCACCAGCCUGGCCUGAUGGUUGUGGAUCGUCCUGCGCCGCUUCAGCCUCCGUAUCCCUACCCAGUGGCUGGAAAUCCAUAGUUGUCCAGUCGAUUCCCAUUAAUGCUUGAAAAACAGCUUCAUCAUGGAGCAGCAAGGACGGGUCAAUAUUGGGAGCGUAAGUAUGCUUACGGAUUGGAGGAAUCAGAUUUUCUGAUUCAUGGAUUGGCGCAGCUAUUCGCUUGUUCUGACUGUCAUAUUGCGCUUGAUAACGAGACAAGUCUGCUUCCUCAGCCAAUUGACAAGCUAGUGGACGCACCUCCCGGUUUAUCGCUCGCAGAUCCGCUUCACCGAAUUCUGAUCCAUCUUCCUUCAAGCUGGGAUAGCCCUGAGCCGCUUCAACAGGAUCAAAGUCCGACACCCAGGCUUUUGCCCGGAUUAAAGCAUUGAUUGCGCCGGUUCGAGCAGCAAAUUUCUUUAGCUCUUCAAUCCGGGCAGGAAGCACUGACAGUUUCAUCAGAGUAUCUUGAAUCAAAGUAGGCGCCGGUUUGUUAAGAGAGGCGGUACAGAUGAUCCGCUGGGCACUAGUAUACAAUUGUUCAACCAAUGUAUAGGCGGCUUUCAGCUUCUUCUGUACAUCUGACCCCAAGUGACCAAUGCGAGUCCCUGAAAUACCAUAAAGGGUUAAUAAGCCGGCGACUUUGUCAGAAGGCAGAGCCAAUUCAGUAGGAAAACUGGCUUACCAAAGAUAGCAGCAGUCAUGGCAUGCACGUGCCGCUUUAUGCUGGUCAGUUCAUCUACCACUGGUUUUAGUGCAGCCUCAGCAUCCUCUACUCGUUUGAUCAAAGCGGAUUUCUCAGUGGCCCAGUCCGCCCGUUUCUUUUUGAAGUUUUCCUUAAGUUGUUCCAUGGCGCUUAAAGCACUGGCCAAUUCCUCUUUUGCUUUGGAGGUUUCAGCUUGUUGGGUUUUCAGGGCUUCUUGAAGAUUGAUGACUUGGUUCUCUUUCGUCUUCAGCUCCGCCUGCAUGCAUACAGAUAUAUGCUUCAGCAAACUGGUAGAAGGAUUCAAGUACCAACCACAUAACAAGUUAUGCGCUUAGUACUUGGGGGCUAAUGCAUAUUUGAUCUAAAGCGGCCUCCGAUUUACCCCUUCAUCUUUCGAUUGUUUACAAAGUCCCAAGAUCAAUACAAGUAUUCAACUUGGCACUUGGGGGCUAAUGGCUAUUUGAUCAUAUAUAUUCUGAUGCGGCAGUUUCAAUUACUUAAAGUACCGGUUUAACUACGCUAAGUUGAACUGGCCCUUGGGGACUACAUCAGCAAAAAUGAAAGCAUACAAGCAGGAAGGAGCAUAUGGAAGUUACCUCAUAAUUAUCCUUCAUCAUGUUAACCAGACCGGCUUCAUAGUCACGGCUGGUAUACAGCCAGUUCAGAUAGCCGGAAUGGAUAUCUUGGGCGUUCAGAGCAGCGUAAGCCAUCAGAUCAACAUUCCACUUGCCUUUGCCAAAAGCAGCUAGUUCUUCCUUGGCAGAAUGUUUGGAUAAAGCGACAGGAUUUCUUGGCUCAGUAUGGCCAGUGCCAGUAAUGACAACUUCAUCAUCGUUGGUACCGCCGGUUUGCACUGGAGCUGUUGGCUUGUCAGUAGGUUUGGCAGGACCGGUGGAGCUUUCAACCCGGAGGGAACCUAUGGGAUGAUGGAUAGGACCUGAGGUAUCAGUAGGUAUUUCCUCAGCAGUAAGAUCAUCAUCUGGCUGCGGUGGAUCAUUGGGAAUAUCCUCAGGAAUAGUCGCUUCAAGAUUGGGUGUGGUGCCUGGCUCAAGAAUGACAUCUUCUUCGGCUGCUUUAUCCAAGCGGGCCUUCUUGCUCGGCCUAGGUUUGGCCCUGAGAAGAAUAACAAAAUUAAAUACAGCAUAUGUUCCAAGGCAAUAUACUACAAACAUCACAAUAAAUAUAGCUUACCCAAGCACCGUUUUGAGCGGUGGGAGCUGAGUAGCCGAUGACUCGCCAGAAGAUGAGUGGGAAAUAACCUGAUAAUCGGAGUCAGGCGGAUUAAGAGGUUGACGAAAGCAGCCCGCUUUAGGACAAGCACUGACAAGCGAAUUAGAGACCUCGGAAUGACGUUUCCGAACCGGACUGUUCGGUAAACCGGCGGAGGUAACUACCUGGCCGCUGUGCCGGGUGGUGCGGCGAGCUUCGUGUUGUUGAGUCUUCAUAAGAAGUUUAGGAUCCAAAUAAGCAAGAGGAUGAGAAAAUUUAACUUUCCGAUUUUCCUGACGGAUUUUUUGUGAAAGCAAAGUUUCUGAAUCGGAAGAGAGAAUAAUUACCUCUGCAACAUCCGCAUGGCUGGCUUCGGCAUCAUCCUGACAAAUAUCAUCAUCAAUAAGAUGCAUGAAAAAUAAACCAAGUGAGUCAAGCUCUACCUCAAAGUCCGGAUUAUCCACCUCGUCAUCAGGGGCCGGAUUAGAAGAUGCAGUGGUUCUUUUUCGGUGGGCAGUCUUCUUCACAACUUUAGUUUUUUGUCGGGUUGCUCUUUUCGGUUUAUCUGUUUUCUCUGGUUUCUCCUGUGGCAGCUUUUUGCUCCAAAACGGAUCAUCGCCCUGGUUAUGCAGACACUGAUAUUAAAAACAAUGACCAGACAUAUCAAUAACAUGUUCAGCAAAGAGAAAAAUCAAAGUCUUACAGCUGGCGGUUUGUUGGUAGCACAGAAGGGAAGCAGGCCGGUUCUAGCGCAGAUGUGCUCCGGUUCAUUCAGUAUCUUACGCACAGCCUCUGUGAUUUCUUCACCGGAGAGCUGGAGUCUUGAAUGUCGUAGUGGGUCAUCCACACUAUCAGUAUAUUCGCACAUCAAACUGGAGCGCUGACUAAGGGGCAGUAUGCUCCAUGAUAUCCAACAGUGAGCAAGGUCAACCCCUGUUAAACCGUUGGCCAUAAAGGCCCUGAGCUUUGAUAGCUGAGGAGCAUAUUUGCUUCUCUCCUAGGCAUUCAAUCGUUGAGGAAAAGGAUGGGUAUUGCUGAGCCGCUCCGGACGAAAGCCAGGCAAGGGAUUCUCACUAGCAGGGGAGGUGUCUUUGCAGUAGAAACAUGUCUGAUUCCACUCCUUGGGGUGACUGUGCAGCUUGGCGUGAGGGUAUGUGACUUCUUUCCUUUUUUGAAUCGCCAUGCCACCCAACUCCGUAUUAGAGCCAUCAGUAAACUCAGUACGGCGGUUUAGAUGGAAAAGAUCUCUGAAUAAUUCCACUGUGGGCUCCUCUUGAAAGAACACCUCACAGAGCACUUGGAAGUGGCACAUAUUUGUAACAGAGUUGGGGCCAGUGUCUUGCGGAUGGAGUUGGAAAUCAGCUAGAACAUCCCGAUAGAAUUUAGAACCGGGCGGUUUAAAACCCCGGGCUAAGUGGUCUACGAAAACAACAACCUCUCCUUCUUGAGGUGUGGGGGGGCAUUCUUUGCCAGGAGCCCUCCAAUGGACGGUGUCUUUGCUGCCCAAGGCGCCAAUCAGGACUAAAUCGUCCAGUUGAUCCUCUGUGAUGCGAGAAGGGACCCAAUUGCACUCAUACACUUGCUUGGCCAUGAUGAAAUCUACAAAGUACAUUGAUAUGUGCAAUGUUAAACCGGAAGCAGAUCUAUUUAAACCGGAGUUUCAUGAAGCAACCAACAUCUGGCGGUUCAACAAGGGGACUAAUGGCAUAUACCGGUUUGGAAAAUUUUCUAUAAGGUUAAACCGCCUAACCUAAACAUUGAAGCAAUUGAGAUUGCGGAUGGUUAAGUAUGCAGAUACAGGUUUCACAAGAUCUUAUUAUGGCAUUGGAUUUGAAGCAAGUUCAGAAAAUAAGAAAAACAGUCGAAGAUCAAAGCAGAACAGUAUUGAAUCAAUGAGCAGACGUAUAUGUGAGAUCUAUGGUUUUGGGCAGGAAACUAGCGGCGGAUACUGAAAGUUACCGCUACACAAAGCAAGGGUUUACAUGUGCAUCCAGGAGCUAGUACAUGAGUAUGAACAAGUGAGCAACACCGCAAGAACACGAAGCCCUAGAUCAGAUCUAUGUUGAGAAGAACAGAAGACCUACCAGAGCUGAGGAAAACGCGGAAGGUCGUCGCGGCUUUCUGGCGUGUUCAAGUUGAUGCAGCGGCCAAGGGUGAUGCAGAAGACGACGGCGGCGGUGGAGCUCUGAGACUGGCGACGCGAGGAAGACGAAGAGGAAGGGCACGAAGGGAAGAAAAGAAAUGACCCUUCGGGCCUCUUUAUAAGGCAAAGGACAUAUGUCAGGCGCGGGAAUCAAGGGACCGCAGAUUUUGGAAGUAGGGUGGUCACCUCGGUCAUUGCGAAUCUAUUAAACAAGAAGAUAUCAUGGAUGUUUUCUUUAUGACAGAUGAUGUCACGCUGGUUUACAGCAAACAGAGAAGAUGACGUCACGGCGGUUCAACAACUACAAGAAGAUGUUGAAGACGAAGAUUGUUGCUAAGGAUUGACAUGAACCUGUUCAAAUCAAUCUGGGGCCUAAUGUUGGGGAUAUUACUACUGGGCAUAAACCGGCCCACCUGGGCCGGAUUAACUCCAUCAGUAGUUCAAAGGUGUUAAAGCCCAAAGAGGCAGAUAAAGGCCCAGGGCCCGUAGUCAGUUUACAACCUGUAGCCGUACAUCAGCUUUGUGCAUAUAGUUGUAAUAUAAGUUAGGAACAAGGAGAGAACAACCCGGAUACGAGUAUGAACCGGUGUUGGGACUCUCUGAACCGGCAGGCGUCACCCAUGUAUAUAAGGGGACGACCCGGCGGCGGUUAAAGGACAGACAACAACUCGAGACAUAGGCGAAGCUUGUUUGCUCCCUAGUCAUCGAAACCCCAUCAAUUCCAUCACAACUAGACGUAGGCUUUACCUUCCUCGAAGGGGCCGAACUAGUAUAAACUCUCUUGCGUCCUUGUGUCCGCUUUAACCCCUUCAAGCUAACCCGUCGCGAUGGCUCCAUGACUAAGUCCUUUCUCUAGGACAUCUGCCGUGACAAAACCAUGACACACGCGAUCGUGAUCGAAUGACCGAGAUGAUGGAGGGGGUUUUGGUGGGUUUUGGGCCACUUUGGAGAGGUGUUGGGCUGCAACACACACGAGGCCUUCAUGGUUCCUCGGUUAACCGUUGGAGUAUCAAACAAAGUCCAAAUGGCAUGAAACUUGACAAGCGGUCUACCGGUGGUAUACCAAGGCCGCUUGGCAAGUCUCGGUCCAAUCUGAGAAAGUUUAAUGUCCGCACACGAAAAGUGGCAAAAGGGGACGCCGGAGGACAUAGGAGUACCAGAAAUGCAAAACGGACAACGGGGAAAAUGCUCGGAUGCAUGAGACGAACACGUAUGUAAAUGCGAUGCACAUGAUGACAUGAUAUGAGAUGCAAGACAUGGACAAAAUGCAAAACAAAGACAAAACCCAACCACGAGGGAAAUAUCAUAACUUAGUGCCGAAAAUGGCAAGAGUUGGAAUACAAAUAUGGCAAGUUACAUACGGGGCGUUACAUUUUGUGUCUUCUUAAUUCCUCUCAUAUCACGGUCUCCCUAAAUCUCAAAAGCGAUGAACGAAGACGAAAGAGGGGAUGCCUUCCGGGGCAUCCCCAAGCUUUGGCUCUUGGUUGUCCUUGAAUAUUACCUUGGGGUGCCUUGGGCAUCCCCAAGCUUGGGCUCUUGCCACUCCUUAUUCCAUAGUCCAUCGAAUCUUUACCCAAAACUUGAAAACUUCACAACACAAAACUUAAUAGAAAACUCGUAAGCUCCAUUAGUAUAAGAAAAUAAAUCACCACUUAGGUACUGUUGUGAACUCAUUCUAAAUUCAUAUUGGUGUAAUAUCUACUGUACUCCAACUUGUCUAUGGUUCAUAAACUCUAUUACUAGCCAUAGAUUCAUCAAAAUAAGCAAACAACACACGAAAAAUAGAAUCUGUCAAAAACAGAACAGUCUGUAGUAAUCUGGAUCAAACGUAUACUUAUGGAUCCCCAAAAAUUCUAAAAUAAAUUUUUGGACGUGAGUAAUUUAUCUAUUAAUCAUCUGCAAAAAUAAUUAACUAAAUAGCACUUUCCACUAAAAAUGGCAGCAAUUCUCGUGAGCGCUAAAGUUUCUGUUUUUUACAGCAAGAUCGCAAGAACUUCCCCCAAGUCUUCCCAAUGGUUCUACUUGUCACAGAAACUAAUUAAACAUAUAAAACACAAUCAUAACAGAGGAUAGAUGAUUUAUUUAUUACUAAACAAGAACAAAAAGCAAGGAACAAAAAUAAAAUUGGGUUGCCUCCCAACAAGCGUUAUCGUUUAACGCCCCUAGCUAGGCAUGAUGAAUUCAAUGAUGCUCACAUAAAAGAUAAGAAUUGAAAUAUAAAGAGAGAAUCAUGAAGACUAUGACUAGCACAUUUAAGCCUAACCCACUUCCUAUGCAUAGGGAUUUUGUGAGCAAACAACUUGUGGGAAUAAGAAUCAACUUGCAUAGGAAGGUAAAACAAGGAUAACUUCAAGAUUUUCAACACAUAGAGAGGAAACUUGAUAUUAUUGCAACUCCUACGAGCAUAUAUUCCUCCCUCAUAAUAAUUUUCAGUAGCAUCAUGAAUGAAUUCAACAAUAUAACCAUCACAUAAAGCAUUCUUUUCAUGAUCUACAAGUAUGCAAAGUUGACACUCUUCCAAAAUAGUGGGAUUAACAUUAACUUAAGUCAUGACCUCUCCAAACCCACUUUCAUAAUUAUCACAAUAAGAUUCAACACCCUCCAAAAUAGUGGGAUCAUUACUUCCUAAAGUUGACACUCAACCAAACCCACUUUCAUCAAUAUAAUCAUCAUAAAUAUGAGGCAUGCUAUCAUCAAAAUAAAUUUGCUCAUCAAAACUUGGGGGACAAAAAAUAUCAUCUUCAUCAAACAUAGCACCCCCAAGCUUGUGGCUUUGCAUAUCAUUAGCAUCAUGGAUAUUCAAAGAAUUCAUACUAACAACAUUGCAAUCAUGCUCAUCAUCCAAAGAUUUAGUGCCAAACAUUUUAAUACAUUCUUCUUCUAACACUUUGGCACAGUAACCGGAAUCCUUAUUUUCAUGAUAGAUAUUAAAAAUAUGAAGCAUAUGAGGUGCCCUCAAUUCCAUUUUUUGUAGUUUUCUUUUAUAAACUAAACUAGUGAUAAAACAAGAAACUAAAAGAUUCAAUUGCAAGAUCUAAAGAUAUACCUUCAAGCACUCACCCCCCGGCAACGGCGCCAGAAAAGAGCUUGAUGUCUACUACACAACCUUCUUCUUGUAGACGUUGUUGGGCCUCCAAGUGCAGAGGUUUGUAGGACAGUAGCAAAUUUCCCUCAAGUGGAUGACCUAAGGUUUAUCAAUCCAUGGGAGGCGUAGGAUGCAGAUGGUCUCUCUCAAACAACCCUGCAACCAAAUAACAAAGAGUCUCUUGUGUCCCCAACACACCCAAUACAAUGGUGAAUUGUAUAGGUGCCCUAGUUCGGCGAAGAGAUGGUAAUACAAGUGCAAUAUGGAUGGUAGAUAUAGGUUUUUGUAAUCUUAAAAUAUAAAAACAGCAAGGUAACUAAUGAUAAAAGUGAGCACAAACGGUAUUGCAAUGCUAGGAAACAAGGCUUAGGGUUCAUACUUUCACUAGUGCAAGUUCUCUCAACAAUAAUAACAUAAGUGGAUCAUAUAACUAUCCCUCAACAUGCAACAAAGAGUCACUCCAAAAUCACUAAUAGCGGAGAACAAACGAAGAGAUUAUUGUAGGGUACGAAACCACCUCAAAGUUAUCCUUUCUGAUCGAUCUAUUCAAGAGUCCGUAGUAAAAUAACACGAAGCUAUUCUUUCCGUUCAAUCUAUCAUAGAGUUCGUACUAGAAUAACACCUUAAGACACAAAUUAACCAAAACCCUAAUGUCACCUAGAUACUCCAAUGUCACCUCAAGUAUCCGUGGGUAUGAUUAUACGAUAUGCACAAUCUUAGAUUCAUCUAUUCAACCAACACAAAGAACUUCAAAGAGUGCCCCAAAGCUUCUACCGGAGAGUCAAGACGAAAACGUGUGCCAACCCCUAUGCAUAAGUUCACGAGGUCACGAAACUCGCAAGUUGAUCACCAAAACAUACAUCAAGUGGAUCACGUGAUAUCCCAUUGUCACCACAGAUAAGCACAUGCAAGACAUACAUCAAGUGUUCUCAAAUCCUUAAAGACUCAAUCCAAUAAGAUAACUUCAAAGGGAAAACUCAAUUCAUCACAAGAGAGUAGAGGGGGAGAAACAUCAUAAGAUCCAACUAUAAUAGCAAAGCUCGCGGUACAUCAAGAUCGUGCCGAAUCAAGAACACGAGAGAGAGAGAGAGAGAGAGAGAGAGAGAGAUCAAACACAUAGCUAUUGGUACAUACCCUCAGCCCCGAGGGUGAACUACUCCCUCCUCGUCAUGGAGAGUGUCGGGAUGAUGAAGAUGGCCACCGGAGAGGGGUUCCCCCCUCCGGCAGGGUGCCGGAACGGGUCUAGAUUGGUUUUCGGUGGCUACGGAGGCUUGCGGCGGCGGAACUCCCAAUCUAUUCUGCUCCUCGAUGUUUUAGGGUAUAUGGACAUAUAUAGGCGAAAGAAGUCGGUCAGGGGAGCCAUGAGGGGCCCACGAGGGUGGGGGCGUGCCCAGGGGGUAGUGCGCGCCUCCCUACCUCAUGGCCUCCUUGAAGCUUCCCUGACGUCUACUCCAAGUCUCCUGGAUUGCUUCCGUUCCAAAAAUAACUCUCCCGAAGGUUUCAUUCUGUUUGGACUCCGUUUGAUAUUCCUUUUCUUCGAAACACUGAAAUAGGCAAGAAAACAACAAUUUGGGUUGGGCCUCCGGUUAAUAGGUUAGUCCCAAAAAUAAUAUAAAAGUGUUUAGUAAAGCCCAUAAACAUCCAAAAUAGAUAAUAUAAUAGCAUGAAUACUUCAUAAAUUAUAGAUACGUUGGAGAUGUAUCACAUAUCACUUAUAUUGAUUGCAUGUGAUGUUUAUCCUUUAUGCAUCUUAUUUUGCUUAGAUCGACAGUAGCAUUAUAAGAUGAUGAUCGGGUGUGAUAAGCUCUACGUUCACAUACAAUGGGUGCAAGCCAGUUUUGCACAUGCAGAAUACUUGGGUUAAACUUGAUGAGCCUAGCAUAUGCAGAUAUGGCCUCGGAACAUUGAGACCGAAAGGUCAAGCGUGAAUCAUAUAGUAGAUAUGAUCAACAUAGUGAUGUUCACCAUUGAAAACUACUCCAUCUCACCUGAUGAUCGGACAUGGUUUAGUUGAUAUGGAUCACGUGAUCACUUAGAUGAUUAGAGGGAUGUCUAUCUAAGUAGGAGUUCUUAAGUAAUUUGAUUAAUUGAACUUUAAUUUAUCAUGAACUUAGUACCUGAUAGUAUUUUGCAUGUCUAUGUUGUUGUAGAUAGAUGGCCUGUGUUGUUGUUCCGUUGAAUUUUAAUGUGUUCCUAGAGAAAGCUAAGUUGAAAGAUGAUGGUAGCAACUACACGGACUGGGUCCGUAACUUGAGGAUUAUCCUCAUUGCUGCACAAAAGAAUUACGUCCUGGAAGCACCGCUAGGUGCCAAACCUGUUGCAGGAGCAACGCCAGAUGUUAUGAACGUCUGGCAGAGCAAAGGUAAUGAAUACUCGAUAGUUCAAUGUGUCAUGCUUUACGGCUUAGAACCGGGACUUCAACGACGUUUUGAACGUCAUAGAGCAUAUGAGAUGUUCCAGGAGUUGAAGUUAAUAUUUCAAGCAAAUGCCCGGAUUGAGAGAUAUGAAGUCUCCAAUAAGUUCUAUAGCUGCAAGAUGGAGGAGAAUAGUUCUGUCAGUGAACAUAUACUCAAAAUGUCUGGGUAUAACAAUCACUUGAUUCAACUGGGAGUUAAUCUUCCGGAUGAUAGUGUCAUCGACAGAAUUCUUCAAUCACUGCCAUCAAGCUACAAAAGCUUCAUGAUGAACUAUAACAUGCAAGGGAUGGAUAAGACAAUUCCCGAGCUCUUCGCAAUGCUAAAGGCUGCGGAGGUAGAAAUCAAGAAGGAGCAUCAAGUGUUGAUGGUCAACACGACCACUAGUUUCAAGAAAAAGGGCAAAGGGAAGAAGGGGAACUUCAAGAAGAACGACAAACAAGUUGCUACUCAAGUGAAGAAACCCAAGUCUGGACCUAAGCCUGAGACUGAGUGCUUCUACUACAAAGGGCCUGGUCACUGGAAGCGAAACUGCCCCAAGUAUUUGGCGGAUAUGAAGGAUGGCAAGGUGAACAAAGGUAUAUGUGAUAUACAUGUUAUUGAUGUGUACCUUACUAAUGCUCGCAGUAGUGCCUGGGUAUUUGAUACUGGUUCUGUUGCUAAUAUUUGCAACUCGAAACAGGGACUACGGAUUAAGCGAAGAUUAGCUAAGGACGAGGUGACGAUGCGCGUGGGAAAUGGUUCCAAAGUCGAUGUGAUCAUAGUCGGCACGCUACCUCUACAUCUACCUUUGAGAUUAGUAUUAGACCUGAAUAAUUGUUAUUUGGUGCCAGCGUUGAGCAUGAACAUUAUAUCUGGAUCUUGUUUGAUGCGAGACAGUUAUUCAUUUAAAUCAGAGAAUAAUGGUUGUUCUAUUUAUAUGAGUAAUAUCUUUUAUGGUCAUGCACCCUUGAAGAGUGGUCUGUUUAUAUUAAAUCUCGAUAGUAGUGAUACACAUAUUCAUAAUAUUGGAGCCAAAAGAUGCAGAGUUGAUAAUGAUAGUGCAACUUAUUUGUGACACUACCGUUUGGGUCAUAUUGGUGUAAAGCGCAUGAAUAAACUCCAUUCCAAUGGACUUUUGGAAUCACUUGAUUAUGAAUCACUUGGUACUUGCGAACCAUGCCUAAUGGGCAAGAUGACUAAAAUUCCGUUCUCCGGAACAAUGGAGCGAGCAAUAGAUUUUUUGGAAAUCAUACAUACUGAUGUGUGUGGUCCGAUGAAUGUGGAGGCUCGCAGCGGGUAUUGUUAUUUUCUCACCUUCACAGAUGAUUUGAGCAGAUACGAGUAUAUCUGCUUAAUGAAACAUAAGUCUCAAACAUUUGAAAAGUUCAAAGAAUUUCAGAGUGAAGUGGAAAAUCAUCAUAACAAGAAAAUAAAGUUUCUACAAUCUGAUUGUGGAGGAGAAUAUUUGAGUUACAAGUUUGGUCUUCAUUUAAAACAAUGUGGAAUAGUUUCACAACUCACGCCACCCAGAACACCACAACGUAAUGGUGUGUCCGAACGUCGUAAUCGUACUUUACUAGAUAUGGUGCGAUCUGAAGGAAAUAUGCCCUAGAGGCAAUAAUAAAGUUGUUAUUAGUAUUUCCUUAUAUCAUGAUAAAUGUUUAUUAUUCAUGCUAGAAUUGUAUCAACCGGAAACUUAGUACAUGUGUGAAUACAUAGACAAACAAAAUGCCACUAGUAUGCCUCUACUUGACUAGCUCAUUGAUCAAAGAUGGUUAUGUUUCCUAGCCAUAGACAUGAGUUGUCAUUUGAUUAACGGGAUCACAUCAUUAGGAGAAUGAUGUGAUUGACUUGACCCAUUCCGUUAGCUUAGCACUUGAUCGUUUAGUAUGUUGCUAUUGCUUUCUUCAUGACUUAUACAUGUUCUUAUGACUAUGUGAUUAUGCAACUCCCGUUUACCGGAGGAACACUUUGUGUGCUACGAAACGUCACAACGUAACUGGGUGAUUAUAAAGGUGCUCUACAGGUGUCUCCAAAGGUACUUGUUGAGUUGGUGUAUUUCGAGAUUAGGAUUUGUCACUCCGAUUGUCGGAGAGGUAUCUCUGGGCCCACUCGGUAAUGCGCACCACUAUAAACCUUGCAAGCAUUGUAACUAAUGAGUUAGUUACGGGAUGAUGUAUUACAGAACGAGUAAAGAGACUUGCCGGUAACGAGAUUGAACUAGGUAUUGAGAUACCGGCGAUCGAAUCUCGGGCAAGUAACAUACCGAUGACAAAGGGAACAACGUAUGUUGUUAUGCGGUUUGACCGAUAAAGAUCUUCGUAGAAUAUGUGGGAGCCAAUAUGAGCAUCCAGGUUCCGCUAUUGGUUAUUGACCGGAGACGUGUCUCGGUCAUGUCUACAUAGUUCUCGAACCCAUAGGGUCCGCACGCUUAAAGUUCAGUGACGAUCGGUAUUAUGAGUUUUUGUGUUUUGAUGUACCGAAGGUAGUUCGGAGUCCCGGAUGAGAUCCGGGACAUGACGAGGAGUAUUGAAAUGGUCGAGAUGUAAAGACCGAUAUAUUGGACGACUAUAUUCGGACAUCGGAAAGGUUCUGAGUGAUUCGGGUAUUUUUUUGGAGUACCGAAGAGUUACAGGAAUUCGCCGGGGAAUAGAUGGACCUUAUUGGGCUUUAGGUGAAAGAGAUAGGAGAGGCUGCGCCCCCCCCCCCAAGGCCUAGUACGAAUUGGACUAGGGGGAGGGGCGACGCCCCCUCCUUCCUUCUCUUCUCUUUUCCCUUUCCUUCUCUCCUACUCCUACUACUUGGAAGGGCUCCUAGUUCUACUAGGAAAGGGGGAAUCCUACUCCCGGUGGGAGUUGGACUCCCCUAGGGUGUUGGGGAACGCAGUAAUUUCAAAAUUUUCCCUAUGCACACGCAAGAUCAUGGUGAUGCAUAGCAACGAGACGGGAGAGUGUUGUCUACGUACCUACGCAGACCGACUGCGGAAGCGUUUACGCAACGUAGAGGAAGUAGUCGUACGUCUUCCCGAUCCGACCGAUCCAAGCACCGUUACUCCGGCACCUCCGAGUUCUUAGCACACGUACAACUCGAUGACGAUCCCCGGGCUCCGAUCCAGCAAAGCGUCAGGGAGGAGUUCCGUCAGCAUGACGGCGUGGUGACGAUCUUGAUGUUCUACUGCCGCAGGGCUUCGCCCAAGCACCGCUACAAUAUGAUCGAGGUGGAAUAUGGUGGCAGGGGGCACCGCACACGGCUAAGGAACGAUCUCAAGGAUCAACUUGUGUGUCUAGGGGUGUCCCCUGCCUCCGUAUAUAAAGGAUCCAAGGGGAGGGGGCCGGCCGGCCAAGGAGGGCGCGCCAAGGGAGUCCUACUCCCUCUGGGAGUAGGAUUCCUCCCCCCAAUCCUAGUUGGAGUAGGAUUCGCUGAGGGGGAAAGAGAGAGAGGGGGGCCGGCCACCUCUCCUUGUCCUAAUAGGACUAGGGGAGGGGGGAGGCGUGCGGCCCAUCUUGGGCUGCCCCUUCUCCUUUCCACUAAAGCCCAUUAAGGCCCAUACAGCUCCCGGGGGGUUCCGGUAACCUCCCGGUACUCCGGUAAAAUACCGAUUUCACCCGGAACACUUCCGAUAUCCAAACAUAGGCUUCCAAUAUAUCAAUCUUUAUGUCUCGACCAUUUCGAGACUCCUCGUCAUGUCCGUGAUCACAUCCGGGACUCCGAACUAACUUCGGUACAUCAAAAUGCAUAAACUCAUAAUAACUGUCAUCGUAACGUUAAGUGUGCGGACCCUACGGUUCGAGAACAAUGUAGACAUGACCGAGACACGUCUCCGGUCAAUAACCAAUAGCGGGACCUGGAUGCCCAUAUUGGCUCCUACAUAUUCUACGAAGAUCUUUAUCAGUCAGACCGCAUAACAACAUACGUUGUUCCCUUUGUCAUUGGUAUGUUACUUGCCCGAGAUUCCAUCGUCGGUAUCCAAUACCUAGUUCAAUCUCGUUACCGGCAAGUCUCUUUACUCGUUCCGUAAUACAUCAUCUCGCAACUAACUCAUUGGCUGCAAUGCUUGCAAGGCUUAUGUGAUGUGCAUUACCGAGAGGGCCCAGAGAUACCUCUCCGACAAUCGGAGUGACAAAUCCUAAUCUCGAAAUACGCCAACCCAACAUCUACCUUUGGAGACACCUAUAGAGCUCCUUUAUAAUCACCCAGUUAUGUUGUGACGUUUGGUAGCACACAAAGUGUUCCUCUGGUAAACGGGAGUUGCAUAAUCUCAUAGUCAUAGGAACAUGUAUAAGUCAUGAAGAAAGCAAUAGUAACAUACUAAACGAUCGGGUGCUAAGCUAAUGAAAUGGGUCAUGUCAAUCAGAUCAUUCAACUAAUGAUGUGACCUCGUUAAUCAAAUAACAACACCUUGUUCAUGGUUAGGAAACAUAACCAUCUUUGAUUAACGAGCUAGUCAAGUAGAGGCAUACUAGUGACACUAAGUUUGUCUAUGUAUUCACACAUGUAUUAUGUUUCCGGUUAAUACAAUUCUAGCAUGAAUAAUAAACAUUUAUCAUGAUAUAAGGAAAUAAAUAAUAACUUUAUAUUGCCUCUAGGGCAUAUUUCCUUCAGUCUCCCACUUGCACUAGAGUCAAUAAUCUAGAUUACACAGUAAUGAUUCUAACACCCAUGGAGCCUUGGUGCUGAUCAUGUUUUGCUCGUGGAAGAGGCUUAGUCAACGGGUCUACAACAUCCAGAUCUGUAUGUAUCUUGCAAAUCUCUAUGUCUCCCACCUGGACUAGAUCCCGGAUGGAAUUGAAGCAUAUCUUGAUGUGCUUGGUCCUCUUGUGAAAUCUGGAUUCCUUUGCCAAAGCAAUUGCACCAGUAUUGUCACAAAAGAUUUUCAUUGGACCCGAUGCACUAGGUAUGACACCUAGAUCGAAUAUGAACUCCUUCAUCCAGACUCCUUCGUUCGCUGCUUCCGAAGCAGCUAUGUAUUCCGCUUCACAUGUAGAUCCCGCUACGACACUUUGUUUAGAACUGCACCAACUGACAGCUCCACCGUUUAAUGUAAACACGUAUCCGGUUUGCGAUUUAGAAUCAUCCGGAUCAGUGUCAAAGCUCGCAUCAAUGUAACCUUUUACGAUGAGCUCUUUGUCACCUCCAUAUACGAGAAACAUAUCCUUACUCCUUUUCAGGUAUUUCAGGAUGUUCUUGACCGCUGUCCAGUGAUCCACUCCUGGAUUACUUUGGUACCUCCCUGCUAAACUUAUAGCAAGGCACACAUCAGGUCUGGUACACAGCAUUGCAUACAUGAUAGAGCCUAUGGCUGAAGCAUAGGGAACAUCUUUCAUUUUCUCUCUAUCUUCUGCAGUGGUCGGGCAUUGAGUCUUACUCAACUUCACACCUUGUAACACAGGCAAGAACCCUUUCUUUGCUUGAUCCAUUUUGAACUUCUUCAAAACUUUGUCAAGGUAUGUGCUUUGUGAAAGUCCAAUUAAGCGUCUUGAUCUAUCUCUAUAGAUCUUAAUGCCUAAUAUGUAAGCAGCUUCACCGAGGUCUUUCAUUGAAAAACUUUUAUUCAAGUAUCCGUUUAUGCUAUCCAGAAAUUCUAUAUCAUUUCCAAUUAGUAAUAUGUCAUCCACAUAUAAUAUCAGAAAUGCUACAGAGCUCCCACUCACUUUCUUGUAAAUACAGGCUUCUCCAAAAGUCUGUAUAAAACCAAAUGCUUUGAUCACACUAUCAAAGCGUUUAUUCCAACUCCGAGAGGCUUGCACCAGUCCAUAAAUGGAUCGCUGGAGCUUGCACACUUUGUUAGCUCCCUUUGAAUUGACAAAACCUUCUGGUUGCAUCAUAUACAACUCUUCUUCCAGAAAUCCAUUCAGGAAUGCAGUUUUGACAUCCAUCUGCCAAAUUUCAUAAUCAUAAAAUGCGGCAAUUGCUAACAUGAUUCGAACAGACUUAAGCAUUGCUACGGGUGAGAAGGUCUCAUCGUAGUCAACCCCUUGAACUUGCCGAAAACCUUUUGUGACAAGUCGAGCUUUGUAGACAGUAAUAUUACCGUCAGCGUCAGUCUUCUUCUUGACGAUCCAUUUAUUCUCAAUUGCUUGCCGAUCAGCGGGCAAGUCAACCAAAGUCCAUACUUUGUUCUCAUACAUGGAUCCCAUCUCAGAUUUCAUGGCUUCAAGCCACUUUGCGGAAUCUGGGCUCACCAUCGCUUCUUCAUAGUUCGUAGGUUCAUCAUGAUCUAGCAGCAUGAUUUCUAGAACAGGAUUACCGUACCACUCUGGUGCGGAUCUCGUUCUGGUUGAUCUACGAGGUUCAGUAGUAUCUUGUCCUGAAGUUUCAUGAUCAUCAUCAUUGGCUUCCUCACUAAUUGGUAUAGGUGUCGCAGAAACAGUUUUCUGUGAUGUACUACUUUCCAAUAAGGGAGCAGGUACAGUUACCUCGUCAAGUUCUACUUUCCUCCCACUCACUUCUUUCGAGAGAAACUCCUUCUCUAGAAAGGAUCCAUUCUUAGCAACGAAUGUCUUGCCUUCGGAUCUGUGAUAGAAGGUGUACCCAACAGUCUCCUUUGGGUAUCCUAUGAAGACACAUUUCUCCGAUUUGGGUUCGAGCUUAUCAGGCUGAAGCUUUUUCACAUAAGCAUCGCAGCCCCAAACUUUAAGAACUGACAACUUUGGUUUCUUGCCAAACCACAGUUCAUCAGGCGUCGUCUCAACGGAUUUUGAUGGUGCCCUAUUUAACGUGAAUGCGGCCGUCUCUAAAGCAUAACCCCAAAAUGAUAGCGGUAAAUCAGUAAGAGACAUCAUAGAUCGCACCAUAUCUAGUAAAGUACGAUUACGACGUUCGGAAACACCAUUGCGCUGUGGUGUUCCGGGUGGCGUGAGUUGCGAAACUAUUCCACAAUUUUUCAAAUGUACACCAAACUUGUAACUCAAAUAUUCUCCUCCACGAUCAGAUCGUAGAAACUUUAUUUUCUUGUUACGAUGAUUUUCAACUUCACUCUGAAAUUCUUUGAACUUUUCAAAUGUUUCAGACUUAUGUUUCAUUAAGUAGAUAUACCCAUAUCUGCUUAAGUCAUCUGUGAAGGUGAGAAAAUAACGAUAUCCGCCACGAGCCUCAAUAUUCAUCGGACCACAUACAUCUGUAUGUAUGAUCUCCAACAAAUCUGUUGCUCUCUCCAUAGUACCGGAGAACGGUGUUUUAGUCAUCUUGCCCAAGAGGCACGGUUCGCAAGUACCAAGUGAUUCAUAAUCAAGUGGUUCCAAAAGUCCAUCAGUAUGGAGUUUCUUCAUGCGCUUUAUACCGAUAUGACCUAAACGGCAGUGCCACAAAUAAGUUGCACUGUCAUUAUCAACUCUGCAUCUUUUGGCUUCAACAUUAUGAAUAUGUGUGUUACUACUAUCGAGAUUCAUCAAAAAUAGACCACUCCUCAAAGGUGCAUGACCAUAAAAGAUAUUACUCAUAUAAAUAGAACAACCAUUAUUCUCUGAUUUAAAUGAAUAACCGUCUCGCAUCAAACAAGAUCCAGAUAUAAUGUUCAUGCUCAACGCUGACACCAAAUAACAAUUAUUUAGGUCUAAUAUUAAUCCCGAAGGUAGAUGUAGAGGUAGCGUGUCGACCGCGAUCACAUCGACUUUGGAACCGUUUCCCACGCGCAUCGUCACCUCGUCCUUCGCCAGUGUUCGCUUAAUCCGUAGUCCCUGUUUUGAGUUGCAAAUAUUAGCAACAGAACCAGUAUCAAAUACCCAAGUGCUACUGCGAGCUCUAGUAAGGUACACAUCAAUAACAUGUAUAUCACAUAUACCUUUGUUCACCUUGCCAUCCUUCUUAUCCGCCAAAUACUUGGGGCAGUUCCGCUUCCAGUGACCAGUCUGCUUGCAGUAGAAGCACUCAGUUUCAGGCUUAGGUCCAGACUUGGGUUUCUUCUCCUGAGCAGCAACUAGCUUGCGGUUCUUCUUGAAGUUCCCCUUCUUCUUCCCUUUGCCCUUUUUCUUGAAACUAGUGGUCUUGUUAACCAUCAACACUUGAUGCUCCUUCUUGAUUUCUACCUCCGCAGCUUUCAGCAUUGCGAAGAGCUCGGGAAUAGUCUUGUUCAUCCCUUGCAUAUUAUAGUUCAUCACGAAGCUCUUGUAGCUUGGUGGCAGUGAUUGGAGAAUUCUUUCAAUGAUGCAAUCAUCUGGAAGAUUAACUCCCAUCUGAAUCAAGUGAUUAUUAUACCCAGACAUUUUGAGUAUAUGCUCACUGACAGAACUGUUCUCCUCCAUCUUGCAGCUAUAGAACUUAUUGGAGACUUCAUAUCUCUCAAUCCGGGCAUUUGCUUGAAAUAUUAACUUCAACUCCUGGAACAUCUCAUAUGCUCCGUGACGUUCAAAACAUCGUUGAAGUCCCAAUUCUAAGCCGUAAAGCAUGGCACACUGAACUAUCGAGUAGUCAUCAGCUUUGCUCUGCCAGACAUUCAUAACAUCUGGUGUUGCUCCAGCAGCAGGCCUGGCACCCAGCGGUGCUUCCAGGACAUAAUUCUUCUGAGCAGCAAUGAGGAUAAUCCUCAAGUUAUGGAACUAGUCCGUGUAAUUGCUACCAUCAUCUUUCAACUUUGCUUUCUCAAGGAACGCAUUAAAAUUCAACGGAACAACAGCACGAGCCAUCUAUCUACGCACAACAUAAACAAGCAAGAUACUAUCAGGUACUAAGUUCAUGAUAAGUUUAAGUUCAAUUAAUCAAAUUACUUAAGAACUCCCACUUAGAUAGACAUCCCUCUAAUCCUCUAAGUGAUCACGUGAUCCAAAUCUACUAAACCAUAACCGAUCAUCACGUGAGAUGGAGUAGUUUUCAAUGGUGAACAUCGUUAUCUUGAUCAUAUCUACUAUAUGAUUCACGCUCGACCUUUUGGUCUCUGUGUUCCGAGGCCAUAUCUGCAUAUGCUAGGCUCGUCAAGUUUAACCUGAGUAUUCUGCGUGUGCAAAACUGGCUUGCACCCGUUGUAGAUGGACGUAGAGCUUAUCACACCCGAUCAUCACGUGGUGUCUGGGCACAACGAACUUUGGCAACGGUGCAUACUCAGGGAGAACACUUCUUGAUAAUUUAGUGAGAGAUCAUCUUAUAAUGCUACCGUCAAUCAAAGCAAGAUAAGAUGCAUAAAAAGAUAAACAUCACAUGCAAUCAAUAUAAGUGAUAUGAUAUGGCCAUCAUCAUCUUGUGCUUGUGAUCUCCAUCUCCUGAGCACCGUCAUGAUCAUCACCGUCAUCGGCGCGACACCUUGAUCUCCAUCGUAGCAUCGUUGUCGUCUCGCCAAUCUUAUGCUUCCACGACUAUCGCUACCGCUUAGUGAUAAAGUAAAGCAUUACAUCGCGAUUGCAUUGCAUACAAUAAAGCGACAACCAUAUGGCUCCUGCCAGUUGCCGAUAACUCGGUUACAAAACAUGAUCAUCUCAUACAAUAAAAUUCAUCAUCAUGCCUUGACCAUAUCACAUCACAACAUGCCCUGCAAAAACAAGUUAGACGUCCUCUACUUUGUUGUUGCAAGUUUUAUGUGGCUGCUACGGGCUUAAGCAAGAACUAAUCUCACCUACGCAUCAAAACCACAAUGAUAGUUUGUCAAAUAGACUCUGUUUUAACCUUCGCAAGGACCGGGCGUAGCCAUACUCGGUUCAACUAAAGUUGGAGAGACAGUCGCCCGCAAGCCACCUAUGUGCAAAGCACGUCGGGAGAACCGGUCUCGCGUAAGCGUACGCGUAAUGUCGGUCCGGGUCGUCUCGUCCAACAAUACCGUCGAACCAAAGUAUGACAUGCUGGUAGGCAGUAUGACUUAUAUCGCCCACAACUUACUUGUGUUCUACUCGUGCAUAUAACAUCAAACCAUAAAACCUAGGCUCGGAUGCCACUGUUGGGGAACGCAGUAAUUUCAAAAAUUUCCCUACGCACACGCAAGAUCAUGGUGAUGCAUAGCAACGAGAGGGGAGAGUGUUGUCUACGUACCUACGCAGACCGACUGCGGAAGCGUUGACGCAACAUAGAGGAAGUAGUCGUACGUCUUCCAGAUCCGACCGAUCCAAGCACCGUUAUUCCGGCACCUCCGAGUUCUUAGCACACGUACAGCUCGAUGACGAUCCCCGGGCUCCGAUCCAGCAAAGCGUCGGGGAGGAGUUCCGUCAGCACGACGGCGUGGUGACGAUCUUGAUGUUCUACUGUCGCAGGGCUUCGCCCAAGCACCGCUACAAUAUGAUCGAGGUGGAAUAUGGUGGCAGGGGGCACCGCACACGACUAAGGAACGAUCUCAAGGAUCAACUUGUGUGGCUAGGGGUGUCCCCUGCCUCCGUAUAUAAAGGAGCCAAGGGGAGGGGGCCGGCCGGCCAAGGAGGGCGCGCCAAGGGAGUCCUACUCCCUCUGGGAGUAGGAUUCCUUCCCCCAAUCCUAGUUGGAGUAGGAUUCGCUGAGGGGGAAAGAGAGAGAGGGGGGGCGGCCACCUCUCCUUGUCCUAAUAGGACUAGGGGAGGGGGGAGGCACGCAGCCCAUCUUGGGCUGCCCCUUCUCCUUUCCACUAAAGCCCAUUAAGGCCCAUACAGCUCCCGGGGGGUUCCGGUAACCUCCCGGUACUCCGGUAAAAUACCGAUUUCACCCGGAACACUUCCGAUAUCCAAACAUAGGCUUCCAAUAUAUCAAUCUUUAUGUCUCGACCAUUUCGAGACUCCUCGUCAUGUCCGUGAUCACACCCGGGACUCCGAACUAACUUCGGUACAUCAAAAUGCAUAAACUCAUAAUAACUGUCAUCAUAACGUUAAGCGUGCGGACCCUACGAUUCGAGAACAAUGUAGACAUGACCGAGACACGUCUCCGGUCAAUAACCAAUAGCGGGACCUGGAUGCCCAUAUUGGCUCCUACAUAUUCUACGAAGAUCUUUAUUGGUCAGACCGCAUAACAACAUACGUUGUUCCCUUUGUCAUCGGUAUGUUACUUGCCCGAGAUUCGAUCGUCGGUAUCCAAUACCUAGUUCAAUCUCGUUACCGGCAAGUCUCUUUACUCGUUCCGUAAUACAUCAUCUCGCAACUAACUCAUUGGCUGCAAUGCUUGCAAGGCUUAUGUGAUGUGCAUUACCGAGAGGGCCCAGAGAUACCUCUUCGACAAUCGGAGUGACAAAUCCUAAUCUCGAAAUACGCCAACCCAACAUCUACCUUUUGAGACACCUGUAGAGCUCCUUUAUAAUCACCCAGUUACGUUGUGACGUUUGGUAGCACACAAAGUGUUCCUCUGGUAAAUGGGAGUUGCAUAAUCUCAUAGUCAUAGGAACAUGUAUAAGUCAUGAAGAAAGCAAUAGCAACAUACUAAACGAUCGGGUGCUAAGCUAAUGAAAUGGGUCAUGUCAAUCAGAUCAUUCAACUAAUAAUGUGACCUCGUUAAUCAAAUAACAACACCUUGUUCAUGGUUAGGAAACAUAACCAUCUUUGAUUAACGAGCUAGUCAAGUAGAGGCAUACUAGUGACACUAAGUUUGUCUAUGUAUUCACACGUGUAUUAUGUUUCUGGUUAGUACAAUUCUAGCAUGAAUAAUAAACAUUUAUCAUGAUAUAAGGAAAUAAAUAAUAACUUUUGCCUCUAGGGCAUAUUUCCUUCAUAGGGCGCGCCAUAGAGAGGGUCGGCCCUCUCCCUCCUCCACUUCUUUAUAUACGGGGAGAGGGGCACCCCUUGGAGACACAACAAUUGCUCAUUGAUCUCUUAGCCAUGUGCGGUGCCCCCCUCCACCAUAAUCCACCUCGAUCAUAUCGUAGCGGUGCUUAGGCGAAGCCCUGCGUCGAUAGCAUCAUCAUCAUCGUCACCACGCCAUCGUGCUGACGAAACUCUCCUAUGAAGCUUUGCUGGAUCGGAGCUCGCUGGACGUCAUCGAGUUGAACGUGUGCAGAACUCGGAGGUGCCGUGCGUUCGGUACUUGGAUCGGUCGGAUCGUGAAGACGUAUGACUACAUCAACCGUGUUGUGCUAACGCUUCCGCAUUCGGUCUACGAGGGUACGUGGACACACUCUCCCCUCUCGUUGCUAUGCAUCACCAUGAUCAUGUGUGUGUGUAGAAUUUUUUUGAAAUUACUACGUUCCCCAACAUGAUCUAUGAUGUCUCUUACUGAUUUACCGCUAUCAUUUUGGGGUUAUGCUUUAGAGAUAGUGAUAACCCACAAGUAUAGGGGAUAAAUUGUAGCCUCUUUCGAUAAGUAAGAUUGUCAAACCCAACGAGGAGCUAAAGGUAGAACAAAUAUUCCCUCAAGUUCUAUCGACCACCGAUAUAACUCUACGCACGCUUAACGUUCGCCUUACCUAGAACAAGUAUGAAACUAGAAGUACUUUGUAGGUGUGAUAGGAUAGGUUUGCAAGAUAAUAAAGAGCAUGUAAUAAAAGCUAGGGGCUGUUUAGAUAAAGACACAAGUAAGUUAGUUUUAGUAAAGAGCUUUUUGUCACGAGAAAGUUAUUUGUCCCUAGGCAAUCGAUAACUAGACUGGUAAUCAUUAUUGUAAUUUUAUUUGAGGGAGAGGCAUAAGCUAACAUACUUUCUCUUCUUGGAUCAUAUGCACUUAUGAUUGGAACUCUAGCAAGCAUCUGCAACUAGUAAAGAUCAUUAAGGUAAAACCCAACCAUAGCAUUAUAAGGCAUCAAGUCCUCUUUACUCCCAUACGCAAACAACCUACUUACUCGGGUCUGUGCUUCUGUCACUCACAUCACCCACCAUAAGCAAAUCAUGAACAUAUUGCAAACCCUACAGCGAGGAUCCCUCACGCUUGUGCGACACGGAGAGCACCAUAGGACAGCACUAAUAAUAAAACAUGCAACUCAAACCAAUCACGAUCAUCAAUUAACCCAUAGGACAAAACGGAUUUACUCAAACAUCGUAGGAUAGCCAUACAUCAUUGGGAAAUAAUAUAUAGCAUUGAGCACCAUGUUUAAGUAGAGAUUACAGCAGGUAAAAGAGGGGUUACAUCGCUGCAUAGAGGGGGGAAGAGUUGGUGAUGAGGGCGGUGAAGUUGUUGGUGUAGAUUGCGGUGAUGAUGAUGGCCCCGGCGGCGUUCCGGCGCCACCGGGAGAGAGGGGGAGAGGGGGCCCCUCCUUCUUCUUCUUCCUUGACCUUCCCCUAGAUGGGAGAAGGGUUUCCCGUCUGGUCCUUGGUCUCCAUGGCAUGGGAGGGGCGAGAGCCCCUCCGAGAUUGGAUAUGCCUCUCUGUCUCUCUCUGUUUCUGCGUUCCAGAUUCUGCCCUUUCACCAUUUCUUAUAUUCCCGGAGAUCCGUAACUCCGAUUGGGCUGAAAUUUGGACACGAUUUUUAUCCUGAUAUUAGCUUUCUUGCGGCGAAGAAGGGAAACAACCGCCUUACGGGGUGUCCACGAGGGUCAGGGGUGCGCCUGCCCCCCUGGGGCGCGCCCCCUGCCUCGUGGGACCCUCGAGCAUCGUCUCGCGUUGAUUUCACUUCCCAAAAUUCACAUAUAUUCCAAAAAAAUCUCCGUCAGUUUUUAUCCCGUUUGGACUCCGUUUGAUAUGGAUUUUCUGUGAAACAAAAAACAUGCAACAAACAGGAACUGGCACUGGGCACUGGAUCAAUAUGUUAGUCCCAAAAAUAGUAUAAAAAGUUGCCAAAAGUAUAUGAAAGUUUUAGAAUAUUGGCAUGGAACAAUCAAAAAUUAUAGAUACGACGGAGAUGUAUCAAACAGCUGCAUUCAUGUUAAAUAGGGCACCAUCGAAAUCCAUUGAGACUACUCCUUAUGAACUAUGGUUUGGCAAGAAACCAAAGUUGUCGUUUCUUAAAAUUUGGGGUUGCAAUGCGUAUGUGAAGAAACUUCAACCUGAUAAGCUCGAACCCAAAUCGGAGAAAUGUGUCUUCAUAGGAUACCCAAAGGAGACUGUUGGGUACACCUUCUAUCACAGAUCCGAAGGCAAGAUAUUCGUUGCUAAGAAUGGAUCCUUUCUAGAGAAGGAGUUUCUCUCAAAAGAAGUGAGUGGGAGGAAAGUAGAACUUGAUGAGGUAAUUGUACAUGUUCCCUUAUUGGAAAGUAGUUCAUCACAGAAAUCUGUUCCUGUGACUCCUACACCAAUUAGUGAGGAAGCUAAUGAAGAUGAUCAUGUAACUUCAGAUCAAGUUACUACUGAACCUCGUAGGUUAACCAGAGUAAGAUCCGCACCAGAGUGGUACGGUAAUCAUGUUCUGGAGGUCAUCUUACUUGACCAUGACGAACCUACAAACUAUGAGGAAGCGAUGAUGAGCCCAGAUUCCGCAAAAUGGCUUGAGGCCAUGAAAUCUGAGAUGGGAUCCAUGUAUGAGAACAAAGUGUGGACUUUAGUUGACUUGCCCGAUGAUCGUCAAGCCAUCGAGAAUAAAUGGAUCUUCAAGAAGAAGACAGACGCUGACGGUAAUGUUAUUGUCUACAAAGCUUGACUUGUUGCGAAAGGUUUUCGACAAGUUCAAGGAGUUGACUACGAUGAGACUUUCUCACCCGUAGCGAUGCUUAAGUCCGUCCGAAUCAUGUUAGCAAUUGCUACAUUUUAUGAUUAUGAAAUUUUGCAAAUGGAUGUAAAGACUGCAUUCCUGAAUGGAUUUUUGGAAGAAGAGUUGUAUAUGAUGCAACCCAAAGGUUUUAUCAAUCCAAAGGAUGCUAACAAAGUGUGCAAACUCCAGCGAUCCAUUUAUGGAUUGGUGCAAGCAUCUCGAAGUUGGAAUAAACGUUUUGAUAGUGUGAUCAAAGCAUAUGGUUUUAUACAGACUUUUAGAGAAGCCUGUAUUUACAAAAAAAAAGUGAGUGGGAGCUCUGUAGCAUUUCUAAUAUUAUAUGUGGAUGACAUAUUGUUGAUUGGAAUUGAUAUAGAAUUUCUGGAUAGCAUAAAAGGAUACUUGAAUAAAAGUUUUUCAAUGAAAGACCUCGGUGAAGCUGCUUAUAUAUUAGGCAUCAAGAUCUAUAGAGAUAGAUCAAGACGCUUAAUUGGACUUUCAUGGAGCACAUACCUUGAUAAAUUUUUGAAAAGGUUCAAAAUGGAUCAAGCAAAGAAAGGGUUCUUGCAUGUGUUACAAGGUGUGAAGUUGAAUCAAACUCAAUGCCCGACCAAUGCAGAAGAUAGAGAGAAAAUGAAAGGUGUCUCCUAUGCAUCAGUCAUAGGCUCUAUCAUGUAUGCAAUGUUGUGUACCAGACCUGAUGUGUGCCUUGCUAUCAGUUUAGCAGGGAGGUACCAAAGUAAUCCAGGAGUGGAUCACUGGACAGCGGUCAAGAAUAUCCUGAAAUACCUGAAAAUGAAUAAGGAUAUGUUUCUCGUAUAUGGAGGUGACAAAGAGCUCGUCGUAAACGGUUACGUCGAUGCAAGCUUUGACACUGAUCCGGAUGACUCUAAGUGAUAAACCGGAUACGUGUUUUUAUUAAAUGGUGGAGCUGUCAGUUGGUGCAGUUCCAAGCAGAGCGUUGUGGCGGGAUCUACGUGUGAAGCGGAGUACAUAGCUGCUUUGGAAGCAGCAAAUGAAGGAGUCUGGAUGAAGGAGUUCAUAUUCGAUCUAGGUGUCAUACCUAGUGCAUCGAGUCCAAUGAAAAUCUUUUGUGACAAUACUAGUGCAAUUGCCUUGGCAAAGGAAUCCAGAUUUCACAAGAGAACCAAGCACAUCAAGAGACGUUCAAUUCCAUCCACGAUCAAGUCAAAGAGGGAGACAUAGAGAUUUGCAGGAUACAUACGAAUAUGAAUGUUGCAGACCCGUUGACUAAGCCUCUCUCACGAGCAAAACAUGAUCAGCACCAAGACUCCAUGGGUGUUAGAAUCAUUACUGUGUAAUCUAGAUUAUUGACUCUAGUGCAAGUGGGAGACUGAAGGAAAUAUGCCCUAGAGACAAUAAUAAAGUUGUUUAUAUUUCCUUAUAUCAUGGCAAAUGUUUAUUAUUCAUGCUAGAAUUGUAUUAACCGGAAACUUAGUACAUGUGUGAAUACAUAGACAAACAGAGUGUCACUAGUAUGCCUCUACUUGACUAGCUCAUUGAAUCAAUGAUGGUUAUGUUUCCUGACCAUAGACAUGAGUUGUCAUUUGAUUAACAGGAUCACAUCAUUAGAUAAUGAUGUGAUUGACUUGACCCAUCCGUUAGCUUAGCACGAUGAUCGUUUAGUUUGUUGCUAUUGCUUUCUUCAUGACUUAUACAUGUUCCUAUGACUAUGAGAUUAUGCAACUCCCGAAUACCUGAGGAACACUUUGUGUGCUACCAAACGUCACAACGUAACUGGAUGAUUAUAAAGGUGCUCUACAUGUGUCUCCAAAGGUACUUGUUGAGUUGGUGUAUUUCGAGAUUAGGAUUUGUCGCUCCAAUUGUCGGAGAGGUAUCUCUGGGCCCUCGGUAAUGCACGUCACUAUAAGCCUUGCAAGCAAUGUGACUAAUGAGUUAGUUGCGGGAUGAUGCAUUAUGGAACGGGUAAAGAGACUUGCCGGUAAUGAGAUUGAACUAGGUAUUGAGAUACCGACGAUCAAAUAUCGGGCAAGUAACAUACCGAUGACAAAAGGAACAACAUAUGUUGUUAUGCGGUUUGACCAAUAAAGAUCUUCGUAGAAUAUGUAGGAACCAAUAUGAGCAUCCAGGUUCCGCUAUUGUGGUUAUUGACCGAAGAUGAGUCUCGGUCAUGUCUACAUAGUUCUCGAACCCGUAGGGUUCGCACGCUUAAUGUUCGGUGACAAUCAGUAUUAUGAGUUUAUGUGUUUUGAUUUACUGAAGGUAGUUCGAAGUCCCGGAUGAUCACGGACAUGACGAGGAGUCUCGAAAUGGUCGAGACAUAAAGAUCGAUAUAUUGGACGGCUAUAUUCGGACACCGGAAGUGUUCCGGGUGAUUUCGGAGAAAACCGGAGUGCCGGAGGGGUUACCGGAACCCCCCGGGGAAGUAUUGGGCCUUAAUGGGCCUUAGCGGAGAGAGAGGGCAGCACCCCAGGAGGUGACCCCCCCCCCAAGGGGAGUCCGAAUAGGACUAGGAGAGGGGGGCGCGGCCCCUCUUUCCCUCUCCCUUUCCCUCUCUUUCCUUCCCCCUUCCCCCUUCCUAGUAGGACUAGGAAAGGAUGAAUCCUACUCCUACUAGGAGGAGGAUUCCUCCUCUCCUUGGGUGCCACUAGGGCCGGCCGGCCUCCCCCUUUCUCCUUUAUAUAUGGGGGCAGGGGGCACCCUAGGAGACACAAGUUGAUUGUUCCAAGCCGUGUGCGGUGCCCCCCCUCCACCAUAUUCCACCUCGGUCAUAUCGUUGCAGUGUUUAGGCGAAGCUCUGCACCAGUAACUUCAUCAUCACCGUCAUCACGCCGUCGUGCUGACGAAGCUCUCCCUCGAAGCUCUACUGGAUCGUGAGUUCGUGGGACGUCACCGAGCUGAACAUGUGCACAUCGCGGAGGUGUCGUACGUUCGGUACUAGGAUCGGUCGAUCGUGAAGACGUACGACUACAUCAACCACGUUGUCAUCACACUUCCGCUUACGGUCUAUGAGGGUACGUGGACAACACUCCCCCCUCUCGUUGCUAUGCAUCACCAUGAUCUUGCGUGUGCGUAGGAAUUUUUUUGAAAUUACUACGUUUCCCAACAAGGAAACUGUAGGUUCCCCGGCGGCAAGACGGCGGUGGCGGGCAACGUGGAAGGUGGUGGCGUUGCUGAGCGGAUGUUGCGGCGCCGGCAGCUGGCAGAGUCACCGGAAAAAAUGGGCGAUGGCGUCAGCGACGAAGGAAGCGGGCGAGGGUUUGCUGUUGGAUGGGGAGAGGCCAAUGUGCCACCGACCAGCGGGCCCGGGGGAGGAGAAGGCGAGCGUGCGCGCGUCUGUCUCAUGUGCGCACCGACGCAAAUCCAGUUCAAAAAUGGACCAGGAAUGGGUCGCCCGCAAAUGAAAAGCGGACACGCGUCCAUUUGGGUUGGCGCGUUGGGCCGACUUUUGUGUCCGUGCGGAUCCAAACGAACACCCGCGGACGAAAUGGGUCGCCCCGUUGGAGUUGCUCUUAGGUUGUUUAUAAAAAGAAACUGGCCUCGAUACAACAAAACCCACCAGCCUACCAAAUGAGCCGACAAAUCCGCCGGCCAAGCGACCAGAGCUGACACCUUAACGCUCGACCUAGAGCUGCCACUCUGACCAGCCCCGAGGCCGUGCUCCACCCAAGCUAACGACUCUACCGCCCACACGACCAAAUCCAGCACCCCACAGCACUCUCCAAAACCACCGCUCCAACUUCCUCACCGGCCUCAGGGCCGCGGUCCGUACGAGCCGAGGACACUGCCGCCCACACGACCAGACAAGAGACUCCACAACACUGAGGAGUAGAUUAUGAUGCUCUUUUUAGACUGAAAAUGGAUUUUCUUUGGAGCAGAAAGCAACAACAAAGAGUUAAGAUGUAUUUUUCACUAAUUUAUUUACACAAAUUAACAUUUAAAACUAAGGAGUAUUGAGACACAUGCUUUUAAAACAGUGUGUUCUACAUAGAACACAAACAUGAAUUUGCUCAAACUAAGUGUUUUUCAAGAGUUGCCCAUACUAAGUGUGAAAAAUGGUCUUAUAUUUUAGAAUGGAGGGAGUACUUCCUAAACUAAUACUUCCUCCAUUCCAUAAUGUAGUGUGUAUAGAUAUUUUAAAAAGUCUUUACAAACUUUAACCAAGUUUAUAGAGAACAUUAUUUCUAUUUGCAAUAGCAAAUAUAUAAAAUAUGGAGCUGUCUUAUAAUGAAUCUAAUGAUAUAUGUUUGGCAUUCUGGAUGUUAAUAUUUUUCUUCAUAAACUUAGUCAAAGUUGGUGAGGUUUGAUUUUUCAAAAAAUCUAGAUGCACUAUAUGGAACAGAUAGAGUAUAAGACAGGAGAGAGGGAGCGCGUCUUUGUAUUGCUAAAGGUUCUCGAAAAGGAUAAGACUUAUUUUUCCCUUGCCACAAUCCUGCAAUCUGAAGAGCGCGAGUAGAGUUGUGCUCUUUGGAUUGCGUGCGCAGAGGGAUACAGCUUACAACCUGACGAGCAACAGAGUACACCAUAAACAACGGUAGCCUCUCAAAGUCUCAAUAAAACAACGCAAGCAUACGGGACAGGAAAAUUUGGUAUAGGUAAUCAUUAGUACUGACUACUGGUAGACUAGAACCAGUUUAGCAACUAAACUGAAGAGGGGGUCCGAUACAGUUCUUAUCCCUAAACAUCAA